UUUUUUUUUUCUGAAAUUGAAGCAGGGAUCUUUUGUCCCUGAUAUACCACCCAACCACAACGCCUUGUUGUGAUAAAUUCUCCCUCAAUUACUUUUACUUCCGUUUUUUACUUUUACUUUUCUUUUCAAUUUACUUCAAUUUCCUGAUUUUUUGUCAAAAUCAGUAAAGUUUUCUUUAAACGUGUAACAUUUUCAAUUUGUGAUUGUUUUUUGCAAAAUCUGAUGAAGUUUUUCAAAAUCCAUGAAGUUUAAGAAAUGAUGAAUUUUGUAGAAAUUUCUGCAAAAUCAAUGUUUUUUUUCAAAUUGAUUCACAUUCUUCAAUAUUGACGAACUUGUUUUCUAGAAUCGGCAAACCUUUUCAGAUUAACAAACUUUUUUUCAAGUUUACAUUUUUUUCAAAUUAAUGAACUUAUUUUUAAUUUUCGAAUUGUUUUUGUUUUUGGCUAUUUUUUCCAGAUUUUGUUUCAUCAAAUAUAAACAUGUACAUGGACCGGACAACCCGUGGGGGCUACGGAGCCUCUCUCGCGCCUGAAGUGCCCAAUAGAAACUCCCGAGGCCCUCAUGAUUUGUUUCCUUUUGUCCUGAUUACUGAAUAAACCCAUGACACGAUAUUCGUAUUCUGUACUCAUUGGAACAAGUUUGUCGAUGUAUCCUACGGACAACUCCAAAGCGGUGACACAAACCGAUAUGGAUUUUGUCCAUUUUCUGUACAUUUGAUUCGGUGUUUUGGCCUUUGACAGUGUUUAGGUGGGCAGUAUGCCCAAUGCAGUGAUGCUUUUUCCUCCGCUUGGUCGGUAUGCGGCCAUAUUUUUGCUUUUUUCAUACAUGUCAAAAACAUUACUAAAACAUGGCGUAAUUUAAUCAAAUACAAAUAUCAUAGUUUCACAAUCAAAUAAAAUUUCAUACCUUACAAACCAAAUAAAAAUUAAAUUGUCACAAAUAUAUUUGAAGAAAAAAAGCAGUCAAUACAUUUAUUGGUUGACAAGGUGAACCCACAUAUGCUCAAUCAAAUCAUCUUGUAGUUGAAUGUGAGUUAAUUAAUUAAACAUGCAUUUGGUAAUGAAAUUCGACGAACAAUGCAAAUGUCGCCGCUCCUCCAUGCUCAAGCAUAACAUUUUCAUCCUAAAACUGAAAUCCGUGAUCGAAGAUUUCAUCCUCAUGCUCAUCCUCUAUGAUCAUAUUGUGUAUGACUAAUGAACACACAAGCAGUCAUCACCUCCAGUAACUUCUCGGUAGUUCUAGCAGGAUAUUGUACGAUGCCCCGUCGAGAUUGAAGAACACCGAAAGCACGCUCCACAUCCUUUCUAGCACUCUCCUGUGCUCGAUAAAUCUCUGCCUCUUCUCUCCUUUCGUGUUGGAGAUUGUUUUGACAAGAGUAGUCCACUAAGGAUAGAUACCAUCAGCUAAGUAGUAUCCUUUGUUGUAGUGGGGUGGCCGUUGAUCUCAAUGAUGACCUCUGGGCAGUUGCUUUAUGCAAGCUUUGCCAACACCGGAGAGCGUUGAAGCACAUUAACGUCAUUGUGGUAGACGGCCAUGCAAAGACAGACUAUCAAAUCUAGAGAUCUUGUGAAGCCACGACCUCAAGUAUGAUAGUGCAAAGUUUCACUCGGCCCAUAUACUGUCAGUGACAAGCAGAAGUGUAGUUCUUCCACUCCCAAUGCACGCAGUCUAUGCAACCAAGCAUCCCGGAAGCCAUAUCGGCAUUGAUCGCAAACAAUCGGGUUGUAUCUGCAACAUUUGGCUCUCUGAAGAAUUUCGGGCAAAUACUGCUAUCGCAGCCUUCCAGAACAUAUACAUGAAGCCUAGGCACAUGGGCUCGCUCAUGCGAACAUACUCAUUAAUAAAUUACCAGGUCUUUUGUAUGCAAGCAUCUGAAUAGUUGGAGUGAAUUUCUAAUGAAGAGGGAAAGCCAACCUUUCGCAGGCCAUCCUCCUUACAUUUGAAAUAUUUAUCCUACACCACCACCUUGUCAUGUAUAUGAUUGAACACAUGUCUAGCCAUCCGGAAGCGACGCCGGAAUAUGUUGCGUUUGAAGAGUGGGUCAACGGACUGGAAGUAGUCCUCCCAGAGUAGGCAAUGGCCACUCUCUCUGUUGUGAUUCAACGCCAGAACAUGCCCCGAACCGAGCCCCUGAACAUCGACCGCUGCCUACUAAUGUUGUCAUGGACGACCAAAGUCGCAACCACAAUCUCCUCAUCGUUGGACGACAAAUUAUCCAAAUCGUAAAUGAAGUCUUUGAAACAGUACCCAUCGCCAUUAUCCAUUUGUACCUUGCGAGAAAAACGUCGAACACCUUGCGGGCGUGGUGAAGAAGCCGGCCGGUGAAGAGCCCCAGAUCUCUCCCUGACCAGGCAACACACAUGUGAAUGUGGAGGCGCCCAUGCGACGAUCGACGAGCCAAGUAGCCGAGCUUGGAGUGUUGUUGGUGGCGGCAGAUGUAAGAGGGUGGUGUGGACAAUUGGGGGGGGGGCUAUGACAACAAAGAAUAUAGUCCACCAACAUUGGCAAGAAUGGUGCCCCGCUGGUGUGGCGUGCUACUGGGGAGGUAUGUGGGUGUGGGCGGCAGCCUAGGAAACAUAGAAUUGGAACAGGGGCGGCGGCGGCGGCGAGGGAAGGGUGUGUUGGAUGUCGAUGGGAAUGGGAGUGGAAUGGCCAAUGUGCGAUCGACUGACGGCCAAGGAGAGGACAAGGGUGGGCGUUGCGCGCGUCCAUGCUGUGUCUGCCCUGACGCAAAAACGGCCCAGAAUUGAGUAACAAAUGGAUCAUGUGCUGGCAAUAUGUGAACGCUCGUCCGUUUGCCUCGGCGCAGUGGCCGUGGUUUCUGUCCAUUUCGACCCACACGGACAUGCAGAGACAGUUUGCAUCGACGUGUUCGAGUUACCCUAAGUUGCAGAUUCUCUCGGUCAUAAUCUAUGCCUAGAUAUCCUAUGUCGGUCCUCCCCUCUUCUCCCAGCUUAUCGUUGUAACAUAAGUAGCUAUUUCUGUAUGUCCUUCAUGGUUGUUGGAUUUCCACCAUUCUGAAAUAAUCUAUGCGAAAGCAAACACACGCGGUUCCCAUAUCAACCACCCUUCCCAUAAAAAGGGAUAUGCGCCGCUGCCCGCCGUCCAUGCCUCCUCCGUCCGCUCCUCCGACGAUGGGAGGGGGUGAGGACCCUAGUGCUUCUGUUCUCGCAUGUAGUUUGGGUUGGUCUAGUGUUUACUUGAGGCGUUGUUUUCAUGGAGGAGACGACGCCGCAUCGGAAUAAUUUGUCUAUGCUCUUCCUUCAUCUCGGCGUCUCUCCAAUCAAUGGUGUCACGGGGCAAGCGGCCCGAUCGUCUUCCCGACCUAUGGAUCCGGUGAGGUUCGUGUCUGGUGGUCCGCCAUCGGCGCUCUCACAGGUGGCGACUGUGUCGCCUAUUGUAGUUGUGUUUGUUGUCUUGCAGUUAGAUGCGUGAAUGACGGCAAGCGGCGGUGUUCCUCUUCUUAGACUAGAUCGGAUGAAGUUGACUGCUUCGAGAUCUGGUGACCAUGGGGAAGAUCUCCGGCCGACGUGCCACAAAGUCUUGGUCUCGUCGCUUGCGACGGUCCCAUUCAUCGGCUCGAAAAGUAUCUUUGUAUGUGAUGGUAUACUCUCCUAGAUCUCAGUAUGGCGGUUGGCCUUCUCUUUUCCCGGCGUUACCAUGAUGACGAAGAAAGGACGCUUAUGGACUAAAUUUCGACUAGGCACAAGUUUCUUCAAGGGUGAAAUAGUAAUUCUACUUCUUCCAGAUUUUUUUUGUGCAAAGUUGCAGGCUUCAGAGCAUCUCCAACGACAGCGCUAAAAAUCCGCGCCCAAUAAUUUUUUUAGCGCGCCACUGUAGCAGUUUUGAAGCACGGGGACCGGAGCAUCUCCAACAGACGCGCGCUAGUGCGGCGCCCAAUCUAGUCGAUCCAGCGGUCCCAUCUGCAGCAGCUCAGAGUUUGCUGCGCGCGCAAGCCGGCGCACCAAAUAUGCUGCCGCGAUAGCGUUUUUUAGCGCGCGCCCAAAAGUUUUUAGCGCGCGUAGUGUUUUGCAGCUUCUGCUGGAGCAGUCCGGCGCCCAAAAAACGGAUGUUUUAGCGCACAGAGCAGUUUUUGGGCGCCUGUUGGAGAUGCUCUCAUAAGCAUGUUUGUCUCUUAUGAUGACCAUACGUAUACACUAGUGGGGACAGGGCCUUUAGCCCCGGCCCGUAAGGGGAUUUAGUCCCGGUUCACCAACCGGGACUAAAGGGGCGGUACUAAAGGCCUAACCUUUAGUCCCGGCCCUGUUCCAAGCCGGGGCUAAAGGUGCUCCACGUGGGCGCCUCGUAGCGCCCUCAGGGGCAGGCCCUUUAGUCCCGGUUCAUUACACGGACCGGGACUAAAGAGUUUCAUAUUUUGUUUAUUUUUGGGUUUUAGGGUUUUAGGGUUUAGGUGUUCGGGGGAUUAACGUGAUGCCUCGUUUGGUGUUCGGGAAUUAGUUUUCAUAUAAUUCUAAAUAAAAAUAAUUAUGCAUAUAUAUAUAUAUAAGAUUAACUUAUCUUACAAGCGAGCAUAUAUAUACAAUUAUAUGGAGAUCUGAAUUAUCGGGACUAGAGCCCGUCUANNNNNNNNNNACACAUGAGUAAUGGCCCCUAGCUACACUAAAUCGUCCUUUGUCAUCUAUAGGUUCCGUCCUCAAAAAGGUCGCAAGCUCCUCUGCAGCAAUCGCGCGUUGCUCUGGUAGGACCUUCUCCCUUAUGGACGUGUACUAUAUAAGAAGAGGAGAUGAAUACGAAUAUCAAUCAUGAUAACAAAGAAUGACGGGUAAAAAUAGAGGUGUGAAUGUUCAUUGCUUACGUCAAAUCUGUGAUCCUUAUGCUCAGAGGUAAACGUGCGAAUGGUCUCGCAAACAUAGUAUCCGCAUAGAUGCGUCCCCCGUGGCUGCUGGUCGCACUUUACGAGAAUAUAAUAUAUAUAAUCAAAAUAAUAAUCUAGCAUCAUAAAUGUAUUGAAAAUAGAAGUAUAUCAUACUACUACUUACCUGAGCCGCUCUAAAGGUCAGCUUCUCAGGCUCGAUACCGGGAGUCACGCACUUGAACCGCUUCCAAACCCUGCCCGACAAGGAUAAUGAUUUGCUAAGUUUUUCGUUAAUUGANNNNNNNNNNNNNNNNNNNNNNNNNNNNNNNNNNNNNNNNNNNNNNNNNNNNNNNNNNNNNNNNNNNNNNNNNNNNNNNNNNNNNNNNNNNNNNNNNNNNACAUAAUGGUCAUGUAAUUCUAAAAAUUAUUAUCAUUUAGAAUAAUGUUCAUGUAAUUCUAAAAAUAAUAUUCACAUAAUUCUGAAUUUUAUUUUUUUUAAAAUAAGGUAAAUGUUAUCAUAUUAAAUAUUUCUGCAUUUAAAAAAUAUUUAUGAAUUAUAAUAAUUUCCAUCAACUAUAAACAAAUCAUGCAUUAUUAAAUUAUUCAGAAAAAUAUACAUUUAUUUUUGGCUGUAUUCAUGCAUUCCGAUAGAUAUUCGUGUAGUUACUUUAUGAGAAAAAUAUUACUUAAAGUAUUGUUCUUGUAUUUCUAACAUAUAUUGAAGAAUUAUUUAAAAUAAUAAUUACAUAAUUUAAGUAGUAAAUAUGAACUUUUUUAGGGGAAAAUAGUAAAUACGAAUUUUAAUCAAUUUAGAUAAUUUUAAUCGUAUUUAGUAUGAACUAAAAACACUAUCAUGGUAAUAAUGGACUGCGGUAAGUGCAGCCCAUUUAAACCCCAUCUGGGUUAUUAUGUUUUUUUGGUGCAAAACAUGGAUCACCAGGUAUAGCUAUCACAAAAGGAUAACAAGCCUGACUUGGCUGGGUUGCUUGUUCCUUCGGCUUAGGAUGAAGACACGUGUUCGAACCUCUGAGUUCUGCGUAAAUAUUUGUUUCCUCUUUGUAUUGUUUUCAGACGGAUGGGUUCUGAUGGUCUUUUUAAGAAAAAAAAUUAACAAGCUCUUUUGUGAUAAAUACAAAUUUUAGGGUGUUUUUCGUGAGCCUCGUCAGCAUGUUGAGCGUAUAAAAUAUGAUUAGCAUCAUAAAUGCAAACCCAAGCCAAGUUAUAUCGUCGAUCUAUACCGUAAGUUUUAGCACUGAUUUUUCUUGUUAAGUUUAAGCACUUGCGCUAUAAUUGACUUUUUUUUCAGGCGUCCGAUGAAUAGUGGGAUCCCUGCAACGAUAAUGAACAGGGCACAAUUGUGCUGUAGUUGGGCCGUAUGAGCGCGGACGCGCGGNNNNNNNNNNNNNNNNNNNNNNNNNNNNNNNNNNNNNNNNNNNNNNNNNNNNNNNNNNNNNNNNNNNNNNNNNNNNNNNNNNNNNNNNNNNNNNNNNNNNAAAGCGAUAAAUAUCAACAUGAAAGCAUGAUGCAAAAUGGACGUAUCACCGGUCCACCCACAUAUCAGACUAUCAAAGUAACGAACGCGAACCAUAUGAACAUGAUGAAACUAGCAUGACAGAAAUUCCCGUGUGUCCUCGGGAGCGUUUUUCCUCCUAUAAGACUUUGUUCAGGCUUGUCCCUUGAUACAAAAGGGAUUGGGCCACUUUGCUGCACCGUUGCUACUACUUGUUACUUGUUACUUUUCACUUGCUACGUUUCACCUUGCUACACCAUCAAUUGUUACCGCUACUUUCAGUGCUUGCAGUUAUUACCUUGCUGAAAACUGUUUAUCAGAGCCUUCUGCUCCUCGUUGGGUUCGACACUCUUACUUAUCAAAAGGACUAUACGAUUGAUCCCCUAUACUUGUGGGUCAUCAUAGAUCAUUCAUCUAAUCAUGGCAAGUGAAAGACUAAUAGACCGGAGGGAAUAAAUAAAACAAACCAAAUAAAGAUCCAUAUAUAAUCUGAUGAUGAAGUGACAAUUCAUCACACCGCAACAAACACAUCGGGAACUACAUCAAAUAGACCACAGGCAUGCAAGGCAGCUCAUGUGAUCUUUGUAUUGCAAAGAAGACACAGAGAUAGGAUGCCACAUAGCCAUUAUUAUGAACCCACAUUCCAAGGUGGACUACCCACAAAUGGUCAUGAGUUUGAUGAAGAUAGCUCUGGCGGAAAAUUUCCCAUCAACAGUUUACUCGAAAAAGCUUGUAGAUUGGAUCGCCCGAGAAAGCAUAGUGGCGGCAUGGAAAAAUGCAAGAUAAAUGUUUUUGGGGGUUUCUCAUCUAUAUCUCCAUAAAGGCGUCGAGGCUGAGAGGCGGCGGACCGACACCCUUGGGAGAGUGGUACGACAUGUUCCAGACCUAGGUAAUGCCGGCCCACCACGUCGAGCUCACAGGGCUUCCCCUGGUGGCUUCGGUGCUCCUGGUGUCCUUACUGACUUGAAACUUUGUGGGCUUCGGUGCUCCUGGUGUCCUUACUGACUUGAAACUUUGUGACAGAUUAUAUGUGCAAAAUUCAACAGCAUCCAGAAGAUUGCAACUAACGCUUGGCAUUGGAUUGAUACGUGUGUGUGUUCAUGCGCGCGUGUGCAUGUGCGUGUGUGCGUGUGUGUGUGUGUGUGCAUGUGUGCGUGUGUGUGUGCGUGCGUGUGUGUGCGCGCGCGUGCCAAAACUAUGUAACAAUGGUAUAAAUGUAGCAUGGACAUAGCAAAAAUUAGGGAUACAUUUGAGGCGUGUCCGAGAUCUUUUGCUCUACCGACAUUGGGAAAGGUCAAGGAAGAAAUUAAGAGUAGAGAGUAGAAAUCACGUCUUCCGAGAAUGUUUACUUAUUUUCACUUAAGUGUAAUUUUCUUUGGUAAUAACAGAAAUUGAAUUGGAUAGUUCUCCAAAAAAUUUAUUUUUUCGGAUCAUUGUGGAAACCUUGUGAGUUCUUAUAGUCGUGAGAUAUCCAUCCAUCGCUAGGUUUUGGAGCAUACUGAAGAACAUGAACACAAUCAUCUUUGGUAACCAGAUUAGAAACAUGGUAUGUCUAUUUGUCUUUAAGGAGCAUUCUCCAUGAUCAUACACAUAUGGUUAGUCUUAAGGACAAAAUGCAAAUAUCACUAGAUCAUUUGUAAUUUCAUCACUCUGUUUUGUAACUCCACAUGGUCAUUUUCAUAGAUAAAAGAUAAAAUGACAUAAUAGGGGCCUUGCCUAUUUUUUAUGCUAAAAAAUAUGUCUGUAGCGGCUUUCCAAGUAUAUCUUGGUUUAUAGGUCUGCAGAUCAAAUCUAGGUCGUUGAAGCAUCAUUGAAUGACUCUGGUCUUUAAAUUUAAGGUAAUGUUUUGGCAGAUCCGCUCGACCCCAGUUCAAUUUCACCUUUAAAUUUAACUCCACUUCCUAGGUCUAGAGCAGCAAAAGGAAGUUUGGCUAAGAAAUUCGAAGUAGAUCCAUAUUAGAGAGAGGUUGUUGUGAAAUAUCUAGAUUACUCCUUUAAAUGGUUUACUUUUCUUAAGUUAUUUUUCUAUCGAUCAUGAUUUUGGUCUUCUCCAGCUCACACAUUAUGAGAUGGAGUUUCUAGCCUUCUAAUGUAUCUCAUUUGUCAUCACGAACAAUUGAUGAACGUACAAGAGUGCCACCUAGUCAAGGCAUUUAAGGGGUUCAUGUAGGAUAAUGGCUUGAGGCCAUUUAUUUAUAUUGGCAUAUAACUUCACAUCAACUCCAGGGUUGGGUGAGUGUUAGGUGAUGUGAAGCUAGCAGAUGAAGCACCUUAUGCUACAUUUGGUAUCUCACUGUUUUGGGAGUUUUAGGAGAAUAUCGCGGUUUCCAACAAAACCUUGGAUUUAAAUAUUUUUUAUGUUUUUGCCAUGAAUAAAUACAAUUGUUUAAUAAUCCAUAGCAUCUUCAGGGCUGAGGCCUUUCUUUUGCAGUAUUUGAAAAAUAAGUAUUGCCCUAUUUUUCCUAAACUGGCCAGAAAAAUCUUUGGUUUAGCGAAGCUAAAGUAUCAAUUGCCCAUAAAUGGGAUACUAAUAUUUUAGAUUACUACAAUUCUCUACCUAGUUUUCGUAAAUGCCGCUGAAAGAAGAGAUGCUCCCUGAAUAAAUAUAUUUCAAAAGGAGUUAGGCCCAGAUUUUUUUGACAAAUAUGAACAGAGGAAAAAAUACAGAGUGAUGGUCUAGACUACCAACAAGGGUUUUAUCCUCCACUUCAUGGAUAAAAUCAAUAUCAGUAGCAAACCCUUUAGCAUGAUUGGUGGGUAAAGCAGUAUGAGACUAAAUAGUAAAUUUUGAUGGAGCACCAAGCUCUCUCAAAUUUUUCUCCACCAUUGGAGUUAUCAUCAUUCUGCAAAUAAAUAUUUAAUACCAACAAUAACUGACUUAUCAAGUUUGUUAUGAGUUUCAAAAGCACUUCCUUUAAGAAUCUAUCAAUAUUGUCUAGAAAAUGUUGUCUUCCAGAGCAUGUAAUUCCUGUGUGAAACAGUAAUCAUCUACUGCCAUAAUACGUGUAAACUACUCGAUAAACUAACACUCGAUGUCUAUGUAACGCCUCGGACACACACACCGAUAGUCGCCUCAUAGAUCAAUACUAGUCUAUCAUGGGCAUUUUGUCCUCAUUCGUACACACCCGGGACGAACAUCCCGGUCGGUCACCCAUCCUGAAAUUACACCAAGCUGAGCACAGUUAACUUUGGAGUUUUAUUCGAAUGGGCUCCCGAAAAAAUAAUAAUUCUUUAUUGAUAUGAGUAGUCUAUCAUUCCUAUUAAGCGAGUCUAUCAAAUACACCCCCAUUCAGAGGAACUGACGUCACUAUCAUCCCUAUUAAACUAGCUCCCAAAAAAGAUACGAAGUUGAAGUUUUAGGACAAAUUCACCUACUCCCCGUGACCCUAAAAACAAGGAACUAGAUGUUUUCCCUCUUUCCUCCGAAAUCAAGGCACAUGAUCAUUUAGACCAACUAGAUGACUUGAUGUGCCCAUGGCGUAAAACCCAAAUCAAGUCAAGAAGGGGGCAAACUAUAUCAAGUUGUAACUGAAACGAAUGCUCAUUACGCCAAUGGUGCUAAUACGAAUUACAACUCAAAAACUAAAAAAUUGCUGAAUAUUCAUGGGUCUCACACCAACUCCACUCCUGGCGUGAAACUAAAGAUUGCACUUCCAUCCCUUGCCAUACCUGGGCUUUUGAGAUUUAUUUGAAAUUUGUUUAAUAUUCACAUUGUCUAGGCCAAUUAAUUCUAACAAGUAGAGUUGGGGGACUCAACCACAGAGGACUCGAACUCGGGGCAUGAAAGAGUCGGACCCGACCAUCGAUGAUGCCACGUGGCAAAGCAAAGUCCUUGAGGAAGUCUCACUCGAUCAUGGAGGAUUCAAACUGAGCCACGGAGAAGCUUGCCAUCGAGGGAGUCUUUCGUCCACCCUAGCCCCAUAAGUAACGAGGUCCACUCGACAUUCACCUCUUCAGGCUAUGAAAAAGCAGAGGAUGAGUCAGACCAGGACUAGAGGUCUCGAUUGUCGAGUAGUUCGUCAUUGGGGUGUGACGCAAUGAAGUGGAGUCCACAAAUGAGACUUGGACUCGGGUGAGGAGUGAGGCCCUCUGGUCCGAUUGAGUUUUUCUUUUAAAGGAGGAUAACCCCCGGUUUGUGCAUUAGGGCGAUGCAUACAUCCAUUUAAUAUUAAGAGUGCAAAAUCUAGCAGUCGAACAACAUAGACCUGGAAAUAAAGCAAAAAAAAAGCCUCAUGCCUCGUGACAGUAGCUCCACCAGGGAGCUACUAACUCUAUGUUACAUAGACGACAUCAAAACAAAAAAUACACACCUCUCAGGCUAGGCCUCCAAGAAUGAAUUGUCAUACGUGCACUAAUAACGACAAGUCCAACACAAGGUUGAACUUUGGAUUCUCAUCUUUAAAUUCAAGUUUCAAUCCACCACCGUUAGCAAGGCCCGAAUGGAUGUUGGAGGAAGUCGGAAUUGUCCAUGGAGGAGUUUGCAAUCAAAGAAGUCAGACUCAACACAAAUAAAAAUUCUCUUUUUUUUAUCAAUUUUGCUAUUUCUCGCGUACCUGAAUCUUUUCUUACGUUAAUUACCGCCUUACUUACUUCCAACUUCACCGAAGAAGAAAAAACCUCAAUAGAGAAGCCAUCGCCACACCAUCUAUCUUAGGAGGGAAGUCAUUGCCGCAUUAUCCAUCUUAUUUCUGGCAAGGGUUGUAGAAGAUCGUGUGAGUUCUUCUCUGUUGCGGGAUUGCGGUGGGGCUUAGAGGGAUGGUUGGGGAGACAACCAACAACGACGGAGGGGGAGGGGUCGAGGGGACGACAGGCCGGCGAGGCCGUGUGUGGUAGCGCAUGCCGACCGUGGGUGAUGAAUGUCGGCGGUUAUGGCAGGGCAGGUUGUGGACCGUGGGAGAAAGAAGAUCGUGCGGGACUAGGAAGAUAAACGGUGACGACGUGUUUCUAACCGUUGAAUAUUGAUCUGAUGGUCUAAAUCAUAAGUGACUGAUACUAAGAGUUUUUUCACGAGUCAAUUACACCACAGAUGCGUGAACUUGGCAAGAAAAGUCAGUUUGGUGCUAAAACUUACGACAUACAUUGAACAGGUGCCAAAACUUGACAUGGUCGUGCAUCUACGACGCUAAUCACGUUAUGUAUACGCACAACAUGCUGACGAGGAUCAAUUGUAGCCUUUCUCGAUAAGAAAGAGUGUCGAACCCAACGAGGGGCUAAAGGUAGGACAAAUAUUCCCUCAAGUUCUAUCGACCACCGACACAACUCUACGCACACUUUACGUUCGCUUUACCUAGAACAAGUAUGAAACUAGCAGUACUUUGUAGGAGUGAUAGGAUAGGCUUGCAAGAAAGUAAAGUACACGUAAAUAAAAUUGGGGGCUGGUUAGAUAAAGAAACAACUACGAGUGUCUAAUGAGUGUGGAAAAGUGGUGGUAGGAGUUGCGGAAUUGUCCCUAAGCAAUUGACUACGUUACUAGAUCGAUAGCAAGUAUCAUGUGGGAGAGGCCUCUGCUAGCAUGUCAUCCCUUACUUGGAAUUCUAUGCACUUAUGAUUGGAACUAUUAGCAAGCAUCCGCAAAUACUAACGUUCAUUAAGGUAAAACCCAACCAUAGCAAUAAGAUAUAUUGGUCCCCCUUCAAUCCCAUAUGCAUCAAUUUCUAUGCUAGGUUUGAAGCUGCUGUCACUCUAGCCUUCCAAUACAUAGUCCUAUCAACGUACAACUAACCCUAUGGUGUGAUCCACGCGCGCGAUCAUAUGAUGGGCACCAAAGGACAGCAACAUAACCACAAGCAAAUUAAACCAACCAUAGCAAUUCAUCAAUCACCGAUAGAACAACGAUAAUCUACUCAGACAUCAUAGGAUAGCAACACAUCAUUGGAUAAUAAUAUGUAGCAUAAAGCACCAUGUUCAAGUAGAGGGUACAGCGGGUUGCGGGAGAGUGAACCGCUGAAUAUAGAUGGGGGAAGAUGAUGGAGAUGUNNNNNNNNNNGAGGUGUUGGUGUAGAUCGCCGUCACACGAUGAUGUCCCGGGCGGCGUUCCGGCGCCGCCGGGAGAGAGGGGGAGAGAGCCCUCCUCCUUCUUCUUCUUCCUUGACCUCCUCCCUAGAUGGGAGAAGGGUUUCCCCUCUGGUCCAUGGUCUCCAUGGCGGCGGAGGGGCGAGAGCCCCUCCGAGAUUGGAUCUCUCUCUCUGUGUCCUUCUGUUUCCGCGCUCCCAGAUUCUGUGUUUCACCGUUUCUGAAAUUUCCGGAGAUCCGUAACUCCGAUUGGGCUGAAAUUUUAACACGAUUUUCUUCCGGAUAUUAUCUUUCUUGUGACGAAAGAAGGGCUCCAACCGCCUUAAGGAGUGGCCACAAGCCUGCCUGCCGCGGGCCCACCCCCUNNNNNNNNNNNNNNNNNNNNNNNNNNNNNNNNNNNNNNNNNNNNNNNNNNNNNNNNNNNNNNNNNNNNNNNNNNNNNNNNNNNNNNNNNNNNNNNNNNNNNNNNNNNNNNNNGUGGGCACUCCAUGCAUCGUCUCGCGUUGAUUCUUCUUCCCAAAAAUCAUAAAUAUUCAAAAAAAAUCCCCGUAAGUUUUUAUUACGUUUGGACUUCGUUUGGUAUGGAUAUUCUGCGAAACAAAAAACAUGCAACAAACAGGAACUGGCACUGGGCACUGGAUCAAUAUGUUAGUCCCAAAAAUAGUAUAAAAAGUNNNNNNNNNNNNNNNNNNNNNNNNNNNNNNNNNNNNNNNNNNNNNNNNNNNNNNNNNNNNNNNNNNNNNNNNNNNNNNNNNNNNNNNNNNNNNNNNNNNNCUUCCCUUUGAAUAGGCUGAGGUUGGACCCACCUUUUUUAGGGUCUGCAUCAUUGUGCCGAGGCUUCGGAUUAUGCAAAUGAUGAUUUUUGGCUUCGUAGUGUGCUGUCACAAAGUUUGCCACCUCCUCAGUAAUGAAUGCCUUAGCCAUCGAUGCUUCAACUCUACGCUUAUUUUUACAUUUAGCUCGAAGGGUCUUCUGCAUCCCCUCAGUUGCAUAGCACCAACGGUCUUGCACGGGCCCACCCAAUCUUGCCUCGGUCGGUAGAUGUAAAAUCAAAUGAUGCAUUGGAUGAAAGAAGCCCCGUGGAAAGAUCUUCUCUAACUUGCACAAAAACUCCGGUGCAAACUCCUCCAUGUCUUCUACCACGCCAGGCGACAAUUCUUUCGCACAAAGAACACGGAAGAAAUAGCUCAGCUCCGCCAGUACUAGCCAUUCAUCCUCAGGAAUAAAGCCACGUAACAUCACCGGCAUUACCCGCUCUAGCCACAUGUGCCAAUCAUGACUCUUGAGACCAAAGAUUUUUAAUUUUUCAAGACUCGCUCCCCUCUUUAGAUUCGUUGCAUACCCAUCGGGGAACAUCAAGUGCAUUUUGACCCACAAGAUAAAUUCCCUCAUAGCUGGCCUUCCAAGAUUGAACCAGGCCUUUGGCUUCGACCACUUCUGCUUUCUUUGCCUUCUCGCAUGUUUUGUAACGGUCUAUGACAUAAUGUCUCUUGAUCGACUCUAGCCUUAAUAUUAUCCUUUGUCUUCCCAUCUAUGUCGAACAAUGUACCAAAAAUAGCCUCUCCGAUAUUCUUUUCAGUGUGCAUCAUGUCGAUAUUGUGUAGAAGAAGGAGGUCUUUGAAGUAAGGCAGAUCCCAGAAGCAUGGCUUNNNNNNNNNNNNNNNNNNNNNNNNNNNNNNNNNNNNNNNNNNNNNNNNNNNNNNNNNNNNNNNNNNNNNNNNNNNNNNNNNNNNNNNNNNNNNNNNNNNNUGUCUUUAUAAAUAUUGUAGAUGGCCAACGUCAACCUCAAUUUCAACGCAUUCCUAGAGAAAAACAAGCUGAAAGAUGAUGGUAGCAACUAUGCGGACUGGGUUCACAACUUGAAGCUCAUCCUUGAAGCAGCUAAAAAGGCUUAUGUCCUUGAUGCGCUGCUAGGUGACCCUCCCGCUCCCGCAGCAGCCCAGGACAUUAUGAACGUCUGGCAAACGCGGAGUGAUGACUACUCUCUGGUUAGGUGUGGCAUGUUAUACAGUUUAGAAACGGGCUCCAAAGGCGUUUUGAGCAACACGGAGCAUAUGAGAUGUUCCAGGAGCUGAAGCUAGUUUUUCAAGCUCAUGCCCGUGUCGAGAGAUAUGAAGUCUCCGACAAGUUCUUUAGCUGUAAGAUGGAGGAGAACAGUUCUAUCAGUGAGCACAUACUCAAUGUUUGGGUUGCACGGUCGUCUGACUUCACUUGGAGUCGAACUUCUGGAUGAUGCUAUAAUUGACAGAAUCCUCCAGUCUCUCCCACCAAGCUACAAAGGCUUUGUGCUUAACUACAACAUGCAAGGGAUGGAGAAGACCGUUCCCGAGUUGUACUCGAUGCUCAAGUCUGCAGAAGUAGAAAUCAAGAAAGAGCAUCAAGUGUUGAUGGUCAACAAGACCACUAGUUUCAAGAAAGGCAAGGGUAAUAAGAACUUCAAGAAAGACGGCAAAGCUGUUGCCGCGCCCGGUAAGCCAGAUGCCGGGAAGAAGAAAAAGAAUGGACCCAAGCCUGAGACUGAGUGCUUCUAUUGCAAGGAAAAAGGUCACUGGAAGCGGAACUGCCCCAAAUACUUAGCGGACAAGAAGGCCGGCAACGUUAAAGGUAUAUGUGAUAUACAUGUUACUGAUGUGUACCUAACCAGCGCUCGUAGUAGCUCUUGGGUAUUUGAUACCGGUGAUGUUGCUCACAUUUGCAACUCAAAGCAGGAACUGCGGAAUAAGCGGAGACUGGCCAAGGACGAGGUGACGAUGCGCGUCGGGAAUGGUUCAAAGGUCGAUGUGAUCGCCGUCGGCACGCUACCUCUACAUCUACCGUCGGGAUUAGUUUUAAACCUUAAUAAUUGUUAUUUAGUACCAGCUUUAAGCAUGAACAUUGUAUCAGGGUCUUGCUUAAUGCGAGACGGCUACUCAUUNNNNNNNNNNNNNNNNNNNNNNNNNNNNNNNNNNNNNNNNNNNNNNNNNNNNNNNNNNNNNNNNNNNNNNNNNNNNNNNNNNNNNNNNNNNNNNNNNNNNCGGCGCGUUCGUGGCGGCGAGGUAGCGGCCGUAGGCGGCGCUGUGGAGAAGCACGUGCUGGGCCUGGGCAUCGUCAUCGGCAUCGCCCUGGUACAGGUGCACCGCCCAAGCCGCGUUCAUAGACGCCCGGCAGUGGUGGAGGGAGACGCCAUGCCCGUCCUCGUUGGCGUGCAGGUACGUCCCGUGCACGCGGCUCCGCAGCCGCACGUGGUGGCCGUCCUGGAGAUGCUCCAUCUGCUGGAGGGCGCUGCGAGGUGGAAGUGGGGAGGAUGGGUUCUUGGUUUCUUGGCGCUCCGGCGAGGUGGAGAAGAUGAGAAGCGAAAGCUGUUGGUUGUGCCGGUUAUGUUAGGCGCCAAGGUGAGGAUGGGUUCUAUUUCAAGAUGGCUGACACGCCGUCGCCGUACGCCCAGGUGGGCUUGCGGGCCGAGGCCCGAAAAAAAAGUUCCUUGGGUUGCGUAAGUUAAUGUCCACAACACACUGUUAUGUUUUUUCUCAGCUUAUACCAUACUCCCUCCGUUUCUUAAAUAUAAAUCUUUUUCAUAGGUUUUAUUUAAAAAUUACAUACGAAUGUAUUAGACAUAUAUAAAGUGUAGAUUCACUUAUUUUGCUCCGUAUGUAGUCCUCUAGUGAAAUCUUUAAAAAAAGUUAUAUUUAGGAACAGAGGGAGUAUAAGCUAAAAAAAGUUGUUCUUCUCAAAAAUAAAAAGCUAAACAAAUUGUGUAUCACACAAAAAAUAUAUAAAAAAUUGUUGCUAAAACAUAGCUAAUUUUUUCUAAAAAAUGCUUUAUCUAAAAAAGAAAAAAUGCUGCAUUUCUAAAAACAAUUACUGUUUUGUCUAUGCAAAAUAAAAGGCUCUCCUUCCAUGCUUUACAAAACACAAUUUUAUCAUAUAUAGCAUGCUUCAUAAGCUGUGCACGCGGCUCCGCGGCCGCACGUGGUGGCCGUCCUGGAACUGCUCCAUCUGUCGCCGGUGACGCUGGAGAGCAGAGGCGCGCGGUGGACAGAGAAACCGAGCGGGGAAGGAGAGGUGGGGAUGAUGAUCCGUGGGUUCUUGGUUUCUUGGCGCUGCGGCGAGGCGGAGAAGAGAAGAAGCGAAAGCUGUUGGUUGGGACGGUUACGUUGGGCGCCAAGGCGAGAGUAUUUCAAGGCUUCGGCACUAGGUGGGCCGUUGGAAAUAGGCCUCGAAGCCCACGUAAUUUUCUGAACCAGCACGCCUAACCAUCCACAAGCAGUUGCUCGAAAAACAAAAUCCACAAGCACACUAAAAAAAGACGUCCACACACAAUACUGCUCUGUUUAAAAAUGGCAAUUUUCCUUUUUGGCUCAAGAAAAAGAAAAUACAACCGCAUUGAAUUGACAUUUAUUGAACGUUUCAUUGAAUUGACAUAUCGAGAUGAUACAAUCGCAUUGAAAGAAUGUCCGCCCCUACGUAGCAUGAUGCACACAAUCAUCAAGUCCAACAGAUCCAAAAAUAAACAUCAUUUUACAGCAAUAGCAAAUCAGUCCAGCCUAGGAUGGGGCACAUCCUAUCCAGAGAUUAAAAAUCAUGUGCAUGCAUGAAUAACCUGUACAGAAAACACAUUUAUUAUUAAAAAUCACAUCGUUCUUGAUAAGGCACAAUGCCCAGCAUAAGCAGUCGCUCCUAAAAGAAUGUGGGUAGAAAAUUGUUUAUCAAUAUCCCGCAACCAUUAGCCGAUCAUGUCACAUGGAGAUAUAGAUUUGAAGCUACUUGAACUAUGGGCCACAGUGCACGAGUGAACUUACACUAAAAAAUAAAAUGUUCAAUAAAACAUAAAAUGUUUGUGAAUUCAAAAACUGAUCGGGAUUUAUGUAAAAAUGUUCGCAAAACAAAAAAAAUGCAUGAUUUUAAACAAAAGUCCGUGUAUUAAAAAUUAUUAAUGAAAUUUAAUAAAAUGUUUGCCAAAACAUGUUCAUGCAUUUCAAGAAAUGUCCUAAAAUUUUCAAAACAGUUUGUGAAUUACAAAAGAGUUUACUGAUUAGAAAAUAAUUGUUGACUCAGAAAGUGUUCAUGAAUUUAGAAAAAAAUCAUGAGUUUCAAAACAAAUCCACCAACUUCGAAAAAUAUGUUUGUCUAUUCCGGAAUUGUUCGUCAAUUCAAAAGAAAAUACUUAAAAAUCGUUCGCAUUAUAAAAAAAUGUUUAUAAUUUAAAAAAAUGUUUGUAAAUUGUAAAAAAUGUUCUCAAUUUUAAAAGAGUUUCUAAAUUUGUAAAAAUGUUCAUGAAUGAUUGAAGGUAUGUAAUUAAACAGUAAUGCUUCUGAGUCUUUGUGACAAUAUACCCGUGUGAAUUUUGAAGAAUUAACUACAAGGGUGGAUCAAAAUAUUAUAGUAUGUUUUCUAAAAAAAAUUUCUUGAAAUUCAGAAUAAUUCUUUGAAUUACCAAGUUUUUUGACAACCAUGAUAUUUUUUCGAAAAUGUGAACAUUGCUUUAGCUUGUGAAUAAAUUAAAAGAAGAAACAUUUUCUUGCAUUUAUGCACAAAAUUUUAAAAUCAUGCGGUGAGAUAUGAACAUAACUAUGAACACAACAUGGUCAUCAUCAUUGGAGAUUAUGAUAUUUUUUUCUCCUGUUGCAAUGCACGGGCCCUUUUGCUAGUAAAUCUAAUAUACCAUAGUGAUCUCGCGGGUACCGUUCUAUUACCCCACACUCCUCACUAUCAAUCGAUGUGAAUCUCUAAGCAAGGGCACCAAUAUCACUUUCGUUGUCUGCUCCACACGUAGCAUCAUCCAUCUCUUGCUUCAGUUGGUAAAUCUAGAUGUUAUAGUCCUUGAUAGAUUUACAAUUUUUUUCCUGUUUGAAACAUGAUUUCAUUGUUAUUGCCAAAUGAAAGGGCAUGGCCAGGGAGCAAAAACUAAACAAACUAAUUUUCUGAAUACGUUACAAACACACCAAAAUAAAAAAAUCUAACGGCCAUACGUGACCAUGUCUUCCCAAACGCAUCUAAUACUUCUGCCAACAUGCCCUCCAUCUGCUGGAGGGCAGAGACCGUCGGGGCUGCGCAAUGGAAGUGGGGAGGAUGGGUUCUUGGUUUCUUGCCGCUCCGGCGAGAUGGAGAAGAUGAGAAGCGAAAGCUAUUGGUUGUGGCGGUUAUGUUAGGCGCCAAGGCAGAGUAUUUCUAUUUCAAGAUGGCUGACACGCCAUCGCCGUACGCCCAGCUUUAGGCACUAGAUGGCUUUCAGGCCGCGGCCCAAAAAGAAAAUGCUCCCUAAAAGUCUGGUUGAGUAAGUUAAUGUCCACAACACACUGUUAUGUUUCUCAGCUUAUACUAUACUCCUUCCGUUCCUAAAUAUAAGUCUUUUCAGAUGUUUUAUUGAAACUACAUACGAAUGCAUAUGGACAUAUAUUACAGUAUAGGUUCACUUAUUUUGCUCAGUAUGUAAUCAUGUAAUGAAAUCUCUAAAAAAAGUAAUAUUUAGGGACAGAAGGAGUAUAAGCUAAAAAUUGUUGUUCUUCUCAAAAAUAAAAAGCUAAACAAAUUGUGAUUCACACAAAAUUUUUUAUAAAAAAUUGUUGCUAAAACAUGGCUAAUUCUUUUCUAAAAAAGGCUAAAAAUGCUAAAUUUCUAGAAAAAAUAUUGUUUUGUCUAUGCAAAAUAAAAGGCUCUACUUUCAUGCUUUCAAAACACAAUUUUCUCAUAUAUAGCAUGCUUCAUAAAAAUAAACUCUAGCUUCAUGCCCAUCAAAACAUUCAAGUUCUAUUGUAUUGUAUUGCGAGGGGGAUCUUAGGCACCAUGGGAGAAAAGACAGAUAGACAGAGAGAAAUCGACCAUCGCCUCGUGUUCUAUGUGUCGUGUUGGUGACCUCGUCUCCAUGAGUAUUCCAACACAUGGAGGUGAUGAACUAUUAGUGCAGAAAAGGCUAGCUAUGACGUGACAAAAAUAGCCAUACUGCCGUGAACACCCGACGCUAUUAUAGACAAAAAUACUACUAAUAAUAAAGGCAAAAAAUACUAAUAAUACUAAAGAUAAAAAUACUAAUAAAAAUAUGACUAAACCAUACUAAUAAUACUAAAGACAAAAAUACUAAUAAUGUUAAAGAAAAAAUAUUAAGCAUGUAAAGCCGGCAUACCAAUUUGGCCGAUGCCACCGCUAUCUUACAAACAGGAAUUAUAGAUGGACCAAUAUAUUUGUGGUGCGUCUAAAAAACCCUACGUCAGCACUAAUAAUGUAAAGCUGGCAUUGCUUCAAAGUGGCGCGCCACCAACAUAAGUUCUCAUUAACCAUUUCUUUACUAGUGAACUUCGGAUGAUCAUUUCACAUGUAGGUUAUGUGCUUUUAAUGUCAAGUUUGAGUAUCAUUUAUAUGAGCGUCCUCGUGGCGUGAGGCUGAAGUCCUACCGACUCUAUAAACAUCAUGUCAUUGAGCCGUGGUGAUAUAACAUGCAGGGCCAAGAGCCAAUGUUCUUCUGGUGUAGCAGAUUAACGACUUAUGUUUGGUAGAUGGUCAAUGUUGCUUGCUUUUCAUAGCUUUAGGAUUUCAUUGGUGGUGCCAAGUAUGACAUGAUGUCUUGUACUCAUGUUUCAUCAUUUAGUGCUCUUGGUAUUCUUCCUCAUUUUUUCGGUGAGGAACGAUAAUUUUGCCGGAGUACAUUGCAACGAGAGUUUUCAAGCAUCUAUGUUAUCAAGGGUUUAAUGAUUUGUGUGAAUUCGUUGAAACACUUGAAGUUAGUCAAACUUUCACAUAUUUGGUCUUUUUCUCUACCAAUCUAGAUAUCUCAUGCUCUACCAACAUAGAGAUUGCUUCAUGAUAUACUUAGCUAGUUUGUAUGCUUGUUCAGUGAAUAUCAUGUUGGGCCCCAAAGCACAAGGGUUUGCAAUAGGAAGAGAGCUUUUCCCGUAGUCGUGAACCAAUGUACCAAUCAAUGGAGUUCUUCCAAUAACCAAUGAUCCGAAACAGCACACAACUAAGACACUUCACUUGGAAUCCAACAUUCUAGUGAGGUUGUCAUUCUCGUUAGCUUUGCUAGUUAGAAGUAAUAAUAUAUCAUGAGGUUGGAAAUGAUUUUUAGGAAAUGAAAUAAAUGGUUUAAAAUAUAAAAGAACAAUAAUUAAAGUGAUCAAUUUUGUGAUUAAGAGGAAUAAAGUAACGGGGUUCCAUAACUUCACUAGUGACAUCUCGCCAUGAAAGCAUAGCUGUGGUAAAAAAAUACAGUUGCAUAAAUUAUAGUGUUUAUGGCUAAUCAUACAUGUCAUGGUUGUAUAUACGUAUUACACCCUUGUAUUCAUAGACCAACAUCCAAGUGCAUCUAUGUCUAAUACUCCACCUAAGACCGCUCAACACACAUCUCUAAGUAACUAAAUAACAAAGAAUUGCACUAAGGAAAAUGAUAUAAUGUAGAUAGUGUAUUCGCUUUACCUCUAGUUCAUAACUAAGACACCUAUUCAACUACAUUUUCAUACUUUGUGGAAAUAACACAAUGGAAGCAUUUUCCCCUUUCCUUCACUAGGAUAGAUUAUUUACAAGGCUAAACCUAUCUAACAUACAUAACUCCCUCUUGUAGAUUGAUACGUCCAUUUUGCAUCAUGCUUUCAUGUUGAUAUUUAUCGCUUUAUGGGUUGUUAUAUUACCUUGUGGUACCAUACUUAUGCCUUUUCUCUCUUAUUUUGCAAGGUUUAUUUGAAGAGGGAGAAUACCGACAACUGGAAUUCUGGACUGGAAAAGGAGCAAGUCUGAGUCCUCUAUUCUGCACAACUCCAAAUGCCCUGAAAAUCAACGUGGAAUUUUUUUGGAAUAUAUAAAAAAUACCGGGCAAAAGAAGUACCAGAGGGGAUCUACUAGGGCCCCACAAGCCUGGUAGCCGCCGCCCCCUGGUGGCGGCUACAGGGCUUGUGGGCACCCUGACGGCCCACUGGCCCCCUCUUUUGCUAUAUGAAGGGUUUCGUUCCAGAAAAGAUCAAGGUGGAUCUUUUUCUUGGAUUCUCCGCCGCCAUGAGGCGAAACUUGAGCAGAUCCAAUCUAGAGCUCCGGCAGGACGAUCCUGCCGGGNNNNNNNNNNUUUUUUUGGGAAUAUAUAAAAAAUAUCGGGCGAAAGAAGUACCAGAGGGGAGCUACUAGGGACCCACAAGCUUGGUAGCCGCCGCCCCCUGGUGGCGGCUACAGGGCUUGUGCGCACCCUGACGGCCCACUGCCCCCCUCUUUUGCUAUAUGAAGGGUUUCGUUUCAGAAAAAAUCAAGGUGGAGCUUUUUCGUGGAUUCUCCGCCGCCACGAGGCGGAACUUGAGCAGAUCCAAUCUAGAGCUCCGGCGGGACGAUCCUGCCGGGGAAACUUCCCUCCCGGAGGGGGAAAUCGUCGCCAUCGUCAUCACCAACACUCCUCUCGUCGGAGGGGAGUCAUCUCCAUCAACAUCUUCAUCAGCACCAUCUCCUCNNNNNNNNNNNNNNNNNNNNNNNNNNNNNNNNNNNNNNNNNNNNNNNNNNNNNNNNNNNNNNNNNNNNNNNNNNNNNNNNNNNNNNNNNNNNNNNNNNNNCACCGUGCCCCUCCUCCCCCUGCUGCCCUCCUCCCCCUGCGGCCUCUCCUCCCCCUGCGGCCCUCCUCCCCCCGGCUAGUUUUUUUUUUCUUUUUUUAAUAGUUUUUGUUUAACUAGUUAUAUGUUUUAGUGAGGUUUUGGCUUAGUUUUAGUUUAGUUUAGGUUCAGUUUUAGUUUAGGUUUAGUUAGAUUAGUUUCCUGUUUAGUAAAGGAGAAAAGGAGAAGAAGAAGAAGGAGAAAGUAGAAGAAGAAGAAGGAGAAAGGAGGAGAAGAAGAAGGAGAAAGGAGAAUAAGAAGAAGGAGAAAGGAGAAGAAGAAGAAGGAGAAAGGAGAAGAAAAAAAUAAGAAGAAGAAGGAAAAGAAGAAGAAGGAAAAGGAAGGGAAGGAGAGGAAAGAAGAAAGAAUAAGAAGAAGAAAAAUAGGAGAGGAAGAGAAGAAUAAGAGGAAAAAAGAAAAUAAGAAGAAGAAGAAGAAGAGAAGAAGAAAACAAGAAGAAGGAGAAGAAGAAUAAGAGGAAAAAAGAAAAAAGAAAAUAAGAAUAAGAAGAAGAAGAAGAAGAAGAAGAAGAAGAAGAAGAAGAAGAAGAAGNNNNNNNNNNNNNNNNNNNNNNNNNNNNNNNNNNNNNNNNNNNNNNNNNNNNNNNNNNNNNNNNNNNNNNNNNNNNNNNNNNNNNNNNNNNNNNNNNNNNUUUGAUCCACAUCAUAGUAAUCAUAUAUACCAUUAGCAUAAGAAGCCAAGGUUCUAUGAUCAUUAAACUCACAAGAAAAGGGAAGGUGUGGAGCCUUCAUCCUAGAGCAACAAGUAACACCACAUCUCUUGCAUAGUUCCCAAUCAUACCAUUUCAACAAAUGGAUUUGAUCCCAUAAAAGUUUCCCUUUUUGAGUCAAGCGAUAAUCCCUAAAGUAUUCACGUUGAUUCAACGUGUAUCCCAUUAUAUAAUUGAAUGGGGCUUUCUCAGGAUUAUUAAAGGAGUGCAUAAUAUUUUCCACAUAACGAGCCUCGAGGGUUUUAGGAAGUUCCCCAUCUCCAUGAGUAGCAAGUACACCUAAUUUUUUUGGUAUUUCGUGUUCCAUAACCAUAACUAAAGAUAGAGAACAACUUAGAACAACAAAUAAAUCUACUUAGUGAUAAAGCAAACAAGCACACACGAGGAUAUUCACCCCACGCUAUUGCUCCCCGGCAACGGCGCCAGAAAAAGGUCUUGAUAACCCACAAGUAUAGGGGAUCAAUUGUAGCCUUUCUCGAUAAGUAAGAGUCUCGAACCCAACGAGGAGCUAAAGGUAGGACAAAUAUUCCCUCAAGUUCUAUCGACCACCGAUACAACUCUACGCACACUUUACAUUCGCUUUACCAAGAACAAGUAUGAAACUAGAAGUACUUUGUAGGAGUGAUAGAAUAGGCUUGCAAGAAAGUAAAGAACACGUAAAUAAAACUAGGGGCUGGUUAGAUAAAGAAACAACUACGAGUGUCUAACGACUGUGGAAAAGUGGUGGUAGGAGUUGCGGAAUUGUCCCUAAGCAAUUGACUACGUUACUAGAUCGAUAGCAAGUAUCAUGUGGGAGAGGCCUUUGCUAGCAUGGCAUCCCUUACUUGGAAUUUUAUGCACUUAUAAUUGGAACUAUUAGCAAGCGUCCGCAACUACUAACGUUCAUUAAGGUAAAACCCAACCAUAGCAAUAAGAUAUAUUNNNNNNNNNNNNNNNNNNNNNNNNNNNNNNNNNNNNNNNNNNNNNNNNNNNNNNNNNNNNNNNNNNNNNNNNNNNNNNNNNNNNNNNNNNNNNNNNNNNNNNNNNNNNNNNNNNNNNNNNNNNNNNNNNNNNNNNNNNNNNNAUGCUGUCACUCUAGCCUGCCAAUACAUAGUCCUAUCAACAUACAACUAACCUAUGGUGUGAUCCACGCGCGCGAUCAUAUGAUUGGAACCAAAGGACAGCAGCAUAACCACAAGCAAAUUAAACCAACCAUAGCAAUUUAUCAAUCACCGAUAGGACAACGAUAAUCUACUCAGACAUCAUAGGAUAGCAACACAUCAUUGGAUAAUAAUAUGUAGCAUAAAGCACCAUGUUAAAGUAGAGGGUACAACUAGAGAUGGCAAUGGGUCGGGUUUGGAGAGGGUGGAGCUGGUCCAAAUCCAACCCAUGACCCAUAUUCCUACCCUCUGCCCAUCCACCAAAGUAUCCAUGGGCACAAAUUGUGCCCAUGCCCAAACCCAUUGGAUAUCCAGAUAUCCAUGGAGCUCCAUGGGCAUAGAAAAAUCAACAUGAAGCCUUCACAAAUUUAAAAUUAACUCAUCGUCGUUCGUUAACUAAGAUUAGGUUUAAUAAUUAUGUUAGUGGAGUUGUGGGGGAUUAGGGAACAUGGGUCACACUUCGACCUUCUCUGACUGCGAGUGACUUGGGGUUGGACAUUUUCUUAGUUUAAUGUCACUACCGUAGGGGCCCAUUUGUCAUAUGGGUAUCCACUGGAUAUCCAUGGAGCAAAAAUUAAAACCAUGUCCAACUCGGUUGUUCAUGGGUAUCCAUAUCCAUGGAUCCAUGGGUAGAAAUGUGCUCUAUACCCUCACCCAAUCGGAUCGGGUAUCCACGGGUAUCCAGAUCCAUGGAUAAAAUUGCCAUCCCUAGGUACAGCGGGUUACGGGAGAGUGAACCGCUGAAUAUAGAUGGGGGAAGAUGAUGGAGAUGUUGGUGAAGAUGACGAAGGUGUUGGUGUAUAUCGCCAUCACACGAUGAUGUCCUGGGCGGUGUUCCGGCGCCGCCGGGAGAGAGGGGGAGAGAGCCCCCUCCUUCUUCUUCUUCCUUGACCUCCUCCCUAGAUGGGAGAAGGGCUUCCCCUCUGGUCCAUGGUCUCCAUGGCGGCAGAGGGGCGAGAGCCCCUCCGAGAUUGGAUCUCUCUCUCUGUGUCCUUCNNNNNNNNNNUGCUCUUCCAGAUUCUGUGUUUCACCGUUUCUUAAAUUCCCAGAGAUUCAUAACUCCGAUUGGGCUGAAAUUUUAACACGAUUUUCUUCCAGAUAUUAUCUUUCUUGCGGCGAAAGAAGGGCUCCAACCGCCUUAAGGAGUGUCCACAAGCCUGCCUGCCGCGGGCCCACCCCCUGGCCGCGGCGACAGGGCUUGUGGGCACUCCGUGCAUCGUCUCGCGUUGAUUCUUCUUUCCAAAAAUCAUAAAUAUUCAAAAAAAUCCUCGUAAGUUUUUAUUACGUUUGGACUUCGUCUGGUAUGGAUAUUCUGCGAAACAAAAAACAUGCCACAAACAGGAACUGACACUGGGCACUGGAUCAAUAUGUUAGUCCCAAAAAUAGUAUAAAAAGUUGCCAAAAAGUAUAUGAAAGUUGUAGAAUAUUGGCAUGAAACAAUCAAAAAUUAUAGAUACGACGGAGACGUAUCACGCGCCAACAUGGUAUGGGACCCAAUGUUAGUGACCGAAAGGCGGGGUCGGGCGUGAGGUCUGAUUUUCUUUUAAAACAUCAUGACAUUUUAUUUUUUCCUCACAAAAAGCACCUCAAUUUUCUUCUUCUUAAAGUAACCCUGAAACGUUACUAUGACNNNNNNNNNNNNNNNNNNNNNNNNNNNNNNNNNNNNNNNNNNNNNNNNNNNNNNNNNNNNNNNNNNNNNNNNNNNNNNNNNNNNNNNNNNNNNNNNNNNNAAAAUGAUUUCGUCGAAGAGUAUGAGCUUCUGUCAAAGACAGGAGGCGGCUAUCCCGGUUUCAUCUCUUGGUUCAAACAAACGGUAAUUUAUCAAUAAUGGACCAUUUCAUUCUUGGUCUAACUUGCGGCUAAUGCAACAAUCGUUUCGUAUUAAACUUGUAGGCUAAUUCAGAGUCUAUGGACGCCGAAUUGAGACAAGUCGCUAAUGGUUUUGACUAUAAGGUCCGUUCAUUUGAGAAAUACAACAUCAACGGCUAUCUCUUUCGUACCUUUGGCAAAGAGCUAUCUAUGCCCGACCAGAAAUGUACAAAUUGUGGUGUCUCUGCUAUCGACGAAGGUGUUAUCGAGUAUUAUGGAAGAGUUGAAGCAAUUUAUGAACUUCAAUUCUAUGGUGAAAACACACCGAACGUCGUAGUCUUCAAAUGUUAUUGGUUCCAGCCGAAGAAGACUAGAAGGACUCAUGAACAUAUAGGACUAGUCGAAAUCAAUCCAAUCACCCAUUUAGAUGUUCCCGAUGUCUAUAUUACGGCUCAACAGGCGACCCAAGUUUUCUAUCUACCGUGGGCAUGCCAAACGGAUAAGAAUCUGGAAGGUUGGUAUGUUGUUUAUGAAGUGCUGCCACAUGUCAGACCACCUCUCCCAAAUGAACAGGAUUAUGAACCUCACAUUAAGCCAGACACAUAUGAUGGAGAAUUCUUCCAAGAAACACGUAUUUCCAAGAAACGUUUCAAGAACCGCCGUGCUUCACCCAAGAACAUGGAAGUAGACAACGACAAUGAAUCCGACUCCAGCCCUGAGCUGGAACCAGAAGACCUAGAACUCGUAGAGGUUACUGAUGCGGAUGACCUGUCAAUGCUUCAAUGAUUAAAGGAAGGCCUUUCACAACUUCACGCCGUUGAACCCGACGAGCACGUCAUUCAUGAAGACAUGCGUGAUAGUGAUGAUGAUGAUGCAUUUAUUGAUGAUGAUUAUUAGUUUGAAAGAUUCACAACUUAAAUUAUAUAUAUUUUAAUCUUUAUUAUUAUUGUACAUAUUAUUAUUCAUGUCAGUUAUUCAAUUUUGUUAUGUUGUACUAAUUUCUUUUAAUCUUUAUCAUGGCAGGUCACCAGGUGUGGAAAUAUGGUGGGCGCAGGUCCAGAUCGCUCGACGGGUUCUUCCCAGGCGCCCCGCACGAGGGCUGGUACUUCCCUUCCACCCCUAUCUCUUCGUAGAGCCUUGGCAGACAGUCUGUCGACACCACCCGUGGGUUCUUCUUCGUCGGCGGCAUUGCCCACUAGGAGAGGUGCUGGUCGGGUAGGGAAGAAGGGGAAGGGUACAUGGAGAGGUGGUGGUCGCGGAAGAUCCAGGAGGACUGUUGAGCCGUCCUCGCCACCACCACCAGCUCAUUCACCCGAGCAUAGGACUACUAUGGUCGACCCGUUUGCGGAGGAGGCUACGGGGACUCCGUUCCAGGNNNNNNNNNNNNNNNNNNNNNNNNNNNNNNNNNNNNNNNNNNNNNNNNNNNNNNNNNNNNNNNNNNNNNNNNNNNNNNNNNNNNNNNNNNNNNNNNNNNNUGUGAUGAUAAUGAUGAUGCUCCUUACCGAUCUGAAAAUUUGGCUAUGCUUCGUUAUUGUUAUACUAAUUAUGAAUAUAAUGCCCAUAUUGAACGAUUUAAGGAGAAAUUCCCCGCUGCCCAAGAAGAGACUAAUAUUUUGCAGGAAACUAUGGAAAAAGAAAAUGAUGAAACUGUGAGCUCAUUAGAUGAAAAAUAUGACGAGGAGAGCAAAGAACAAAAGGAGGAAGAGCGGGCUAGCUACCCGUGCCCACCUUCUAAUGAGAGUAACUCUUCAACUCAUACAUUGCUUAAUUUACCUUCGUUCUNNNNNNNNNNNNNNNNNNNNNNNNNNNNNNNNNNNNNNNNNNNNNNNNNNNNNNNNNNNNNNNNNNNNNNNNNNNNNNNNNNNNNNNNNNNNNACCGAAGGAUGAAUGCUAUGUUGAUUGCUAUGAUCCCUUGGAUUCGUUUGAAAUAUCCCUUUUUGAUGAACUUGAUGCUUGCCAUGCUUGUGGCCAUGAUGCCAAUAUGAAUGAUGCUUAUGAAGAUGAGCUAGCUAUAGUCCCUUAUGUUAAACAUGAUGAUUUUGAUGAAUAUAAUAUGCAUGUGCUUGCUGCUCCUACUUGCAUUUAUUAUGAGAGAGGAACUACAUCUCCACCUCUCUAUGUUUCCAAUGCGAUCAAAUUGCAAGAAACUGCUUAUGCUAUGUAUUGGCCUUUACUUGGUGUGCAUGAAUUGUUCUUUUAUGACAUGCCAAUGCAUAGGAAGAGAGUUAGACUUCGUCAUUGCUUGAUAUAUGUUACCUUGUGCUCACUACUAAAUUUCAAAGCAUUGCUAAUUAAAAUUGGCUUUGAUAUACCUUGGGAUCCGGGUGGAUCCAUUACUUGAGCACCUUAUGCCUAGCUUAAUGGCCUUAAAGAAAGCGCUGCCUGGGAGACAACCCGGAAGUUUUAGAGAGUCAUUUAUUUUUGUUGAGUGCUUUUAUUUAGUUUAAAAACAAAAAAAUAUAGAGGGGAACUUAAAACUUUUUCAAAAAGAGAAGCGAUUGAAAGGUGAUGCAUUGCGGAAGUGAGGGUCGACCUUGAACACUUGUGUUCAUGCUCAUGGAAACAAUGUAGAAUUUUUCAUGGAAGUUUCUCACAAAAAUAAUUACCCCCCUGUACAAUUCCUUUGUGUUUUUAAAAAUAAUGUGCCAAGUAAAGCCUUUACGAUUAGUUUGGGUGAUAGUUGUUUGAUCACGCUAAGAAAAGACAGAAACUUUCUGCUCACGAAAGUAAUUUGCAUUUUUAUUCUGGAAGAGAUUUUGAGUUGAUUCUUUUUGCUGCUGAUUUAUAUGCAAAUUUUCCAGACGUUCGUAAUUUUUCAGAUUUUUUGAGAUAUCAGAAGUAUACGGAAUAUACAGAUUGCUACAGACUGUUCUGUUUUGACAGAUUCUGUUUUCUAUGCAUUGUUCUCUUAUUUUGAUGAAUCUAUGGGUAGUAUCGGGGGGUAUGAACCAUGGUGAAGUUGGAUUACAGUAGAUAUAAUGCUAAUAUGAAUUUAAAAUGAGUUCACAAUAGUACUUGAAGUGGUGAUUUAUUUUAUUAUACUAACGGAUCUCACGAAGUUUUGUUGAGUUUUGUGUGAUUGAAGUUUUCAAGUUUUGGGUGAGAGCACGAUGGAUGAAGGAAUAAGGAGAGGCAAGAGCCUAAGCUUGGGGAUGCCCGAGGCACCCCAAGGUAAUACUCAAGGAAGACUCAAGCGUCUAAGCUUGGGGAUGCCCCGGAAGGCAUCCCCUCUUUCGUCUACAAUCUAUCGGAAAUUUUACUCGGAGCUAUAUUUUAAUUCGUCACAUGAUAUGUGCAAAUGCUUGGAGCGUCUUUUGUGUUUUUUUAUUUUUAUUUUUUGCACCAUGCUGGUAUGAGAUAGUCCUUGGUUGGCUUUAUAGAAUGCUUCAUGUGCUUCACUUAUAUCUUUUGAAGUUUGGAUUGCCUGUUUCCCUACAUAUAGAAAACCGCCAUUUGUAGAAUGCUCUUUUGCUUCACUUAUAUUUGUUAGAGCAGGGCAUAUAUUUUAUAGAAAGAAGUAAACUCUCAUGCUUCACUUAUACCUAUUUAGAGAGUUAAUAGGAGUUGGUCAUUCACAUGGUUAGUCAUAAAACCCUACAUAAAACUUGUAGAUCACUGAAUAUGAUAUGUUUGAUUCCUUGCAAUAGUUUUGCAACAUGAAUAUGUGAUAUUAGAGUCAUGCUAGCGAGUAAUUGUGUAUUCGUAGAAAUACUUGUGUUAAGGUUUGUGAUUCCCGUAGCAUGCACAUAUGGUGAACCGUUAUGUGAUGAAGUCGGAGCAUGAUUUAUUUAUUGAUUGUCAUCCUUUGUGUGGAGGUCGGGAUCGCGCGAUGGUUAACUCCUACCAAGCUUUCCCCUAGGAGCAUGCGUGUAGUACCUUGUUUUGAUGACUAAUAUACUUUUGCAAUAAGUAUGUGAGUUCUUUAUGACUAAUUUGAGUCCAUGGAUUAUACGCACUCUCACCCUUCCACCAUUGCUAGCCUCUCUAGUACCGCGCAACUUUCGCCGGUGCAUUACACCCACCAUAUAGCCUCCCUCAAAACGACCACCAUACCUACCUAUUAUGACAUUUUCAUAGCCAUUCUGAGAUAUAUUGCCAUGCAACUACCACCGUUCCGUCUCAUGACAUGUGCCACCACUUCCACAUUCCCAUUGCAUGAUUGUAAGAUAGCUAGCAUGAUGUUUCCAUGGCUUGUCCGUUUUUUGAUGUCAUUGCUAUGCUAGAUCAUUGUCACGGUACACUGCCGAAGGCAUUUCAUAUAGAGUCAUCAUUGCUCUAAGUAUUGAGUUGUAAGUGUGAUGAUCAUUAUUAAUAGAGAAUUGUGCAUGUGAGGAAAUAAAAGAGGCCAGCGAAGCCCAUUUACAAAAAAGAGGCCAAAGAUGCCAACCAAAAAAAAGAGGCCAAAGAGCCCACAAAAAAAAUGAGAGAAAAGAGAGAAGGGACAAUUGCUACUAUCAUCUUUCCACACUUGUGCUUCAAAUAGCACUAUGAUCUUCAUGACAGAGAGUCUCCUAUGUUGUCACUUCCAUAUACUAGUGGGAAAUUUUCAUUAUAUAACUUGGCUUGUAUAUUCCAAUGAUGGGCUUCCUCAAAAUUGCCCUAGGUCUUCGUGAGCAAGCAAGUUGGGUGCACACCCACUAGUUUAUUUUGUGAGCUUUCAUACACUUAUAAGCUCUAGUGCAUCUGUUGCAUGGCAAUCCUUACUCACUCACAUUGAUAUCUAUUGAUGGGCAUCUCCAUAGCCCGUUGAUACGCCUAGUUGAUGUGAGACUAUCUCCUCCUUUUUUGUCUUCUCCACGACCACCAUAUUCUAUUCCACCUAUAGUGCUAUGUCCAUGGCUCACUCUCAUGUAUUGCGUGAAAGUUGAAAAGGUUUGAGAACACUAAAGUUGAAACAAUUGCUUGGCUAAAACCGGGGUUGUGCAUGAUUUAAAUACGUUGUGUGGGGAAGAUGGAGCUAGUGAGACUAUAUGAUUUUGUAGGGAUAACUUUCUUUGGCCAUGAUAUUUUGAGAAGACAUGAUUGCUUUGUUAGUAUGCUUGAAAUAUUAUUGUCUUUAUUUCAAAUGAUAGACUAUUGCUUCGAAUCACUCGUGUUUUAGUAUUCAUGCCAUGAUUAGAUUAUAUGAUCAAGAUUAUGUUGGGUAGCAUUCCACAUCAAAAAUUAUCUUUUUUAUCAUUUACCUACUCGAGGACGAGCAGUAAUUAAGCAUGGGGAUGCUGAUACGUAUCCGUCAUAUCUAUAAUUUUUGAUUGUUUCAUGCUAAUAUUCUACAACUUUNNNNNNNNNNNNNNNNNNNNNNNNNNNNNNNNNNNNNNNNNNNNNNNNNNNNNNNNNNNNNNNNNNNNNNNNNNNNNNNNNNNNNNNNNNNNNNNNNNNNGGGCUCCGCCCGAGCUCCGCAGAAACGCGAUCUAGAGGAAAAACCGUGGAGGUAUGUGGUCGGGCUGCCGUGGAAAAGUCGUCUCAAAUCAGCCCUAAAACCUCCGUAUAUAUAGGUGGGAGGGAGGGGGGCCUUGCCUUGGGGUCCAAGGACCCUCAAGGGGUCGGCCGAGCCAAGGGGGAGGACUCUCCCCCCCCAAACCGAGUUGGACAAGGUUUGGUGGGAGGGAGUCCUCCUCCCUUCCCACCUCCUCCCUUUUUUUUCUUUUUCUCUUGAUUUUUCUUCUCUUGGCACAUAGACCACUUGUGGGCUGUCCCACCAGCCCACUAAGGGCUGGUGUGUCUCCCCCAAGGCCUAUGGGCUUCCUCGGGGUGGGUUGCCCCCCCGGUGAACUCCCGGAACCCAUUCGUCAUUCCCGGUACAUUCCCGGUAACUCCGAAAACCUUCCGGUAAUCAAAUGAGGUCAUCCUAUAUAUCAAUCUUCGUUUCCGGACCAUUCCGGAAACCCUUGUGACGUCCGUGAUCUCAUCCGGGACUCCGAACAACAUUCGGUAACCAACCAUAUAACUCAAAUACGCAUAAAACAACGUCGAACCUUAAGUGUGCAGACCCUGCGGGUUCGAGAACUAUGUAGACAUGACCCGAGAGACUCCUCGGUCAAUAUCCAAUAGCGGGNNNNNNNNNNNNNNNNNNNNNNNNNNNNNNNNNNNNNNNNNNNNNNNNNNNNNNNNNNNNNNNNNNNNNNNNNNNNNNNNNNNNNNNNNNNNNNNNNNNNNNNNNNNNNNNNNCAUAUUGGAUCCUACAUAUUCUAUGAAGAUCUUAUCGUUUGAUCCUCAGUGCCAAGGAUUCAUAUAAUCCCGUAUGUCAUUCCCUUUGUCCUUCGGUAUGUUACUUGCCCGAGAUUCGAUCGUCAGUAUCCGCAUACCUAUUUCAAUCUCGUUUACCGGCAAGUCUCUUUACUCGUUCCGUAAUACAAGAUCCCGCAACUUACACUAAGUUACAUUGCUUGGAAGGCUUGUGUGUGAUGUUGUAUUACCGAGUGGGCCCCGAGAUACCUCUCCGUCACACGGAGUGACAAAUCCCAGUCUCGAUCCAUACUAACUCAACGAACACCUUCGGAGAUACCUAUAGAUCAUCUUUAUAGUCACCCAGUUACGUUGCGACGUUUUAUACACACAAAGCAUUCCUUCGAUGUCAGUGAGUUAUAUGAUCUCAUGGUCAUAGGAAUAAAUACUUGACACGCAGAAAACAGUAGCAACAAAAUGACACGAUCAACAUGCUACGUCUAUUAGUUUGGGUCUAGUCCAUCACGUGAUUCUCCCAAUGACGUGAUCCAGUUAUCAAGCAACAACACCUUGUUCAUAAUCAGAAGACACUGACUAUCAUUGAUCAACUGGCUAGCCAACUAGAGGCAUGCUAGGGACGGUGUUUUGUCUAUGUAUCCACACAUGUAAAUGAGUCUUCAUUCAAUACAAUUAUAGCAUGGAUAAUAAACUAUUAUCUUGAUACAGGAAUUAUAAUAAUAACUAUACAUUUAUUAUUGCCUCUAGGGCAUAAUUCCAAUAGUCUCCCACUUGCACUAGAGUCAAUAAUCUAGCCCUCACAUCACCAUGUGAAUUGUAAUAAAUCUAACACCCAUACAGUUCUGGUGUCGAUCAUGUUUUGGCCGUGGAAGAGGUUUAGUCAGCGGGUCUGCUACAUUCAGAUCCGUGUGCACUUUGCAUAUAUUUACGUCCUCUUCCUCGACGUAGUCGCGGAUGAGGUUGAAGCGUCGUUUGAUGUGUCUGGUCUUCUUGUGAAAUCGUGGUUCCUUUGCUAAGGCAAUGGCACCAGUGUUGUCACAGAAUAAGGUUAUUGGAUCCAGUGCACUUGGCACCACUCCAAGAUCCGUCAUGAACUGCUUCAUCCAGACACCCUCCUUAGCCGCCUCCGAGGCAGCCAUGUACUCCGCUUCACAUGUAGAAUCUGCUACGACGCUUUGCUUGGAACUGCACCAGCUUACUGCACCCCCAUUAAGAAUAAAUACGUAUUCGGUUUGUGACUUAGAAUCGUCCGGAUCNNNNNNNNNNNNNNNNNNNNNNNNNNNNNNNNNNNNNNNNNNNNNNNNNNNNNNNNNNNNNNNNNNNNNNNNNNNNNNNNNNNNNNNNNNNNNNNNNNNNGAUGACUCCACCCAGUACUUCUCCGAGUGUCCUCUCAUCUUCGGGUCCAGCUAUGUCAAGCUCCAUAUCAUGAAACCCCGCCAUGAUUUCAUCUCGAAAAGAAUGCACGCCUUCUCUGUAAGCGGCUGUGCGUCGAUCACCGUACAUCCAUGGAUGGCUCAUCUGCGUUAUACGACAGUAUAUCAAAUACAAUCACGAUCCUAAAAAUUAGUACCGCACGGUCUAAACGAGGAAAUAUAGUUGCUAACCUUUUAGAAUAAGUAGAAAUAAAGAGGAAGAGGUUUAAGCGUGGCUCAGGCAUCUCAUAUCGUAGUUGUGUUCGGUGAACUGAAGCGGCAUCGCUCUAACACACAUUUCAACAAACACCUCUAGUGCAUCAAAAAAAAGUGGAGAGCUAGCACACACCCACAAUCCUCCAUCCAAGAAAAAUGCAAGGAAGAGGGGAGAGGGGGGUUGUGCUAUAUAUAGGCAGAGGACUUUAGUUCCGGUUUGAGACACAAACCGGAACUAAAGGUGGCGCACAUGCGGGCUGCACACCGCGUAGUCCUUUAGUCCCGGUUUGGGACACGAACCGGGACUAAAGGCUCCUUACGGGCCGGGACUAAAGCCUCGAGGGAGGCAUUGCGAUUUGGGGCGACGUGGCCGGGCCUUUAGUCGGGACCAGAGGCAGGCCGGGACUAAAGGGUCCCGGCCAAAGGUCCGUUUUCCACUAGUGAUAGUGUCUGUGAACAGAUUGUCUAAUGAAAUAUGUUGCUUCAAAAAAUAAAAAUUAAAAACAGUCUGCAUGCCUGGCACUGGCUUUGGUUGAUCGACUGGGCGCCAGAAUCCGGCUCCGACUCGGUAACAGCUUCGUUGCACCGCCACACCACGCAAUGUAUUGCUGCCGCCCAAGAUCUUGGAGCUAGAGUCGGAGUGGACACAUCCUAUAUAAGGCAGCACGCCCAACCCUUUCCCUACCAACACAUCGCCUCUCUCUCUCUCUCUCCUGCACCUACGCCUCGAAGCUUUUGUUUUGCUGCCGGAACCUCCUACCUGCGAUCGCGAUCUCGUGGUGCGGUGAUCGAGAUGGCGAAGCGCAAGUCGAUGAGCUCCAAGAUGGCGUCGCGGAAGAAGCCGGCGCCGAAGCUGGAGACCACCUUCUGCUGCCCCUUCUGCAACCACCCCGACGGCGUCGCAUGCACCAUCGACCUCAAGCUCUUCGUCGCCAGUGCCGUCUGCUACGUCUGCCAGGAGGCCUACCACACCGCGGCGCACCACCUCACCGAGCCCGUCGACAUCUACCACGAGUGGAUCGACGCCUGCGAGAAAGCCAACCAAGACGUCGACGACGUGGACUGCUACAAACGACAGCGGCGAGUCGGCAGCGGCGACGACGACGACAGACAUGCCUGAUCGAUCCGAUUGAUACGUCCUCAAUCAAAUCUUGAGUAGUUUGAUGUUUGAUCGCGUCUCUCCAAACUGUGUCGAUUGGAGCCUGUAGUCCUGAUCGAUCAUGUACCUCUGUUGCUGCGUAAUCUGUAGCGAGUUCUGAUCAUCAGGUAAUCUGUGACUGGUUUCGUUGUUGCAGCCAAUUCUCUUAUUUUCCUUCGAGGAUAGUUGAAUUUACCUUGUGAGCGAGAUAUACAUUUUAGUCACAACUCACGAGAUAAUUGGACUACAAUCUUCUUUUGGCACGGACAAGAGUACCUUGUUGUCUCUAGAAAAAAAAAACGCUUGGAACUAUUAAACUGAAAAACUAAAUCAUGCCGCUAGUGGAAGAGUUUGGAACCUGAAAACCUAAAUCGGUUCGGUCUGCUAAUUUCAACUUCACAGAGAAGAUGAUGAUUUCUAUUUUUUAGCCUAGUGUAAUUUGUAGCGAAUAAAGUGUGGACAAAAUUCAGGUUGUAUCGCAGAGAACAUUACAUUGUUUUGAGACUCCUUUUGAUCUUCUUAUUUGAACUUGUUACAGUACCUGUGACACAUGAUACCUAACUACUUAACUGCUUUUCUGCUAAUUCAGCCCACGUGAUGAUGCGGUACGCGGAUGUCGAUGCAGGGUAGAGAGAUAUACCCAUAGAAGUCGCCUUCCUGUCCACCUCUUCAGAGUAUCGCCGCCUCAGUUCAAACUUCUAACUUGUAAGGCAUGGGUUCAGGGAAACCCAGCAGUUGUUGCGUUUCUGCUAGAUAAAUUCUAAUUCAGAAACUGUUCUCAAAUUCAGAAACUAUUUCAACAAUGAGUCUCUGUAAUGGUUUCGCCCUUGUUUGGCCGCAUUGAAUACUGAUGUGGUGGCUCUUGCAGCGAGUUGAGCACUUGAGAUUACAGUUUCAGUCCUAUAACAGAAAAUGAAGUUGUUUUUCGACAGAGAACUCUAUGGAAACAUUUGUAGAUUUGCAAUGCAGGAAAAUGAAGCAGACCGUAGGCUGAGAAGAGUUUGCAGUGCAGACCGGAGGCUGGGAAGAGUUGGCAAGGAAACUACUCCCUCCCUUCCUAAAUAUAAGUCUUUUUAAAGGUUUCACUAGUGUACUACAUACGGAUGUAUAUAGACAUAUUUCAGAAUGUAGAUUCCUAGUAAAAUCGUUUGAAACACUUAUAUGUAUGUAGACUACUAGUAAAACAGUGUAGAUUCAAUCAUUUUGUUCCGUAUGUAGAUUCCUAAUAAAAUCGUUUAAAAGACUUAUAUUUAGGGACGGAGGGAGUAGAAGGCAAAACCAAACGACAUAAAACAGAAAUCUUGCACAACGCCCCAAGAUUUUUAAUUUUUUUUGAACAGAUAAGAGCUGAACAGCGCAGUCUGCUUCCACACAGGUCAUGUAUUUAGGAAAACAAAAUCUCUGGAAUUAAAAAGUUGUAGUACUUCAAAAACAGUUCAUUUACAAAAGGCUGUUUUGUACUUUCCAAAAAAAUGUUCAUAUACUUCAAAAAAAUACUUGUUCAAUUUUUAAAACUGUUUGUGUGUCUUUAAAUGUCCAUGUAAGUCAAAAAGUGUUGACACAUUUCAAAAAAUAUUCAUGUAGCUUUAAGAAGUGUUAGUUCAUUCUUAAAAUUACGUUCAUGUAUUUGUAAAAGAAAGAAGACCGUGUCCUUUUAAAUUGUUCAUGCAUUUGGAAAAGCUCAUCUAAUUUAAAAAGGCCUCAGACACUUUACAUUUUUAGAAAAAUGACGGUGCACCGCCAGUGAGAUCUUCCCAUCACACACUAGCUAGAAUUUGUUAAGAUGCAUCGGAAAAACAGUUACAUCUUAGUGUGUAAAAGUAUUCAAACAUAAGUGUGGAAUUGAACAACACUGCAGCCCUCUUCACAUCACACACUAGCUAGAAUGAUCAUGGGUGGAUACAUAUGGUCGGAGCAGAGCUUGGUUGCAGCCACUUCAUUUGCAGUGCACCCCAAUCCCCAGCCUUUAUAGAGCUGAACGAUCUUGUGAUUCGGUAAAAAAACAGACUCCAAAACUUUUCCAGUAGGAAUUUUUCUCCGUUUUGGAAUAUUUGAAAAAAUAGAAAAAUUGGAAGUAGUCCGGAAAGCGCGCGAGGAGGCGACAAGCCUGCCAGGCGCGGGCCCACCCCCUGGCCGCGCCUGGGGGGCUUGUGGCCACCUCGUGUGCCUCCCGGACUCCGUUUCCGUGCGGAGUACUCCUUCUGGUCUGGAAAAAAUCAUUAUAUAUUCUCCCGUAAGGUCUGACGCUCGUAUCACGCAGAUUUCCUCUGUUUUCGUUUCGAGCCUGUUUUCUGCCGCAGAUUUAGGUCAAGAUAUCUUCUCAGGAUUCAGAGGGGGAGAGCUAUGUGGUUGAUUACCUCGCUAACCCCAAGGUCUAUGGGGACUUGGAUCGUUAUGGCUGGACCACUGAUGAGGAAGAAGAUUAUGAACCCAAAGGGAAGGAAGGAACAAGUUCCGAUGAGGAGGAGGCUCCUCUACCUCCACCUGGAAACACCCAUGUGGAGUUCAAGAAGUCGAGCCUCCCUGACUCAAAGAAGAAACCUAAGACUCUGUUUAUCCCUUCUCGUUUCUUGCAGGAGAGUAAGCAGGAAUUAUGCCAAAGGGUGUUGAAGCUUGAAGAGGAAAAUGAUGAUUUGAGGGAGCAGAAUUUUAUGCUCAAGUGGAAAUUAAACAAGCUCAAGACCUCUGCAACAACUCUACCACCAUCACCUCCAAAGGAAGACAACUGAGCAUGGGUAUGGGCAAUCCCCUUGGCUUGUGCCAAGCUUGGGGGAGUUGCCCCGGUAUCGUAUCACCAUCACAUCUUUUGCCUUUACCUUUGUUUUAGUUUGUUCCUUUUCAGUUUUCUUUUUCUCUAGUAGAUUAAAAGUCUUAGUGUUUCAGUCUUGAGUUUUGCUUUGUGUCACCCAUGAUGUAUUCGAGCUCGUGAGCCAUAUAAUAAAGAGUGUCUUAGUUGAGGGCUUUGCCUCUUGCCAUGAUCAAAAGAGUGAGAAAAGAACAAAAGCAUGAAAGAUCAUGUAAUGAUCUUAUGGGAAGUGAUGGCUUCACAUAUAAAAAGAAUGUUGAUUGAAACUUGUUGAGGGUAGACAAACGUAGACCUUGGUCAUUGUUGCGAUUAAUAGAAAGUGAUAAAGAAGGAGAGGUUCACAUAUAAAUAUAUCAUCCAUCUAUGAUUGUGAACACUCACUAAACUAUUGCAUGCUUAGAAGUAGAUGUUGGACAAGGAAGACAACAUAAUGAAUUGUGUUUGCUUGGUUCCACCUCAUAUGACGAUUGCUUCCACCUCAUAUUAGCCAAAACUCCCGCACCCAGUAGAGAUACUACUUGUGCAUCCACAAACCUUCAACCCAGUUUUGCCAUGAGAGUCCACCAUACCUACCUAUGGAUUGAAUAAGAUCCCUCAAGUAAGUUGUCAUCGGUGCAAGCAAUAAAAAUUCUUCCUAAUAUGUAUGAUCUAUUAGUGUGUGGAAAAUAAGCUUUGUACAAACCUGUGAUGAGGAAGACAUAAAAGCGACAGACUGCAUAGUAAAGUUCUUUAUCACAGGAGGCAAUAUAAAGUAGCGUUCCUCCACACUAAGAGGACACGCAUCCAAACCUCAAAAGCGCAUGACAACCUCUGCUUCCCUCUGCGAAGGGCCUAUCUUGUACCUUUACUUUUUGCCCUUGAAAGAGUCAUGGUGAUCUUCACCAAUUCCUUGUUUCGCCUUUAUCUUGACUAAUGUCAUAUGCUAGGGAAAGAUCUAUAUUCAUAUGUCAACUUGGAGGUAAGCAUUCAUGAAUUAUUAUUGUUGACAUUAAACUUGAGGUAAGAAGUUGGAAGGCAAAACUAUAAGUCCCUAUCUUUCUCUGUGUUCAGCUGAAACUUUGAUCUCAUGAGUACCACGUGAGUUGUGGCAAUUAUAGAGAAUGAAAAGAUGAUUGAGUAUGUGGAUUUGCUUUACAAGCUCUUAUUUGACUCUUUCUGAUGUUGUGAUAAAUUGCAAUUGCUUCAAUGACAAAAGGCUAUCGGUUGCUAAUUCUUGGUAAGGUUCUUGAUCCAUGCUUUACUUUGUGAAGGAAUUGUCACUUUAGCAUGAGAGAUUAUAUGUUGGUGUUGCUGUUUUGAUCAUGAUCAUGAUGCAUGCAUGUUCGUAUUUUGUUUUGUCGACACCUCUCUCCGUAAACAUGUCGUCUUAUUUAUUGAGCUCGGCUUUCGCUUGAGAACAAGCAAGGUCUAAGCUUGGGGGAGUUGAUACGUCCAUUUUGCAUCGUGCUUUUAUGUUGAUAUUUAUCGCUUCUUGGGCUGUUAUUUCACUUCACGGUACAAUACUUAUGCCUUUUCUCUCUUAUUUUGCAAGGUUUAGAUGAAGCGGGAGAAUGACGACAGCUGGAAUUCUGUCCUGAAAAAGGAGCAAGCUUGAGAUGCCUAUUCUGCGCAACUCCAAAAGCCGUGAAAAUCAACGUGGAUUUUUUUGGGAAUAUAUAAAAAAUACUGGGCCGAAGAAGUGCGAGAGGAGCGCAACCAGGGGGCCACAAGCCUGGUAGGCGCGGCCACCCCCACUAGUGGGGACAGGGCCUAUAGCCCCGGCCCGUAAGGGGCUUUAGUCCCGGUUCACCAACGGGGACUAAAGGGGCGGGACUAAAGGCCUAACCUUUUCGUCCCGGCCCUCUUACACGCCGGGACUAAAGGUGCUCCAUGUGGGCGCCUCGUAGCGCCCCAGGGGCAGGCCCUUUAGUCCCGGCUCGUUACACGGACUGGGACUCAAGAUUUUCAGAUUUUGCUGGUUUUUGGCUUUUUUUUGAAUGAAAUUAUUUUUGGGUUUUAGGAUUUUAGGGUUUAGGUGUUCAGGAGAUUAACGUGAUGCCUCGUUUUGUGUUCGGGAAUUAGUUUCAUAUAAUUUAAAAUAGAAAUAAUUAUGCAUAUAUAUAUAUAUAUAUAAGAUUAACUCAUCUUACAAGCGAUCAUAUACAAUUAUAUGGAGAUCUGAAUUAUCGGGACUAGAGCCCGUCUAUUCGAUUACAUGGACGAACAUCAGUAAUGGCCCUUAGCUACACUAAAUCGUCCUUUGUCUUCUAUAGCUUCCGUCCUCAGAAAUCCCGCAAGCUCCUCUGCAACAGCAAUCGCGCGUUGCUCUGGUAGGACCUUCGUCCUCAUGGCCUCGUGCUAUAUAAGAAGUGGAGAUGAAUAUGAAUAUCAAUCAUGAUAACAAAGAAUGACGGGUAAAAAUAGAGGUGUGAAUGUUCAUUGCUUACGUCGAAUCUGUGCUCCUUGAACUGAGAGGUAAACGUGCGAAUGGUCUCCAAACAUAGUAUCCGCAUAGAUGCGUUCCCCGUGGCUGCUGGUCGCACUUUACGAGAAUGGAAUAUAUAUAAUCAAAAUAAUAAUCUAGCAUCAUAAAUGUAUUGAAAAUUAAUAGAAUUAUAUCAUACUACUACUUACCUGAGCCGCUCUAAAGGCCAGCUUCUCAGGAAAGUUACCGGGAGUCACGCACUUGAACCGAUUCCAAACCCUGCCCGACAAGGAUAAUGAUUUGCUAAGUUUUUCAUUAAUUGAUAUAUCAGAAAAUCAUCGAAAUAGACCGAUAGAGCGCAAGAAUGAUUAAAAUUACACUUGGAGCAUGUCCUGCAGGCUUUGGAACUGUUCCAAGGGUCUCGAUAAUGGGUCGAAGGCAUCAACUAUUCCCUUAUCAAUUUGAAUGUCCAACAUAAUCCAAUGGAAGCUGCACAUGUAUAUAUAUAUAUAUGUGUGUGUGUGAGUAACUUAUCAAUUACACUUAUAAGUGAAUGGACACAACAGAGUAAAGACCCUCACCUGAAGUUGUAUGGAAACAAUAUGUGGUCACAUAAAUUUUGAUCUCUUAGAAACCUUAGAAGGUUUUCGUCCGUCUCCUUGGGAUAAUUAGUUAGCGUCGCUAUAUGUAUUUUAUCUGGAUCAAUAAACCCAAUAUUUAUGAUGCUCUUACUUUUACACUCCAGAAUCUUCAUUCUGCAUAAUAGAGUACAAGUUAUAUAUAGACAAUGAAUUGAAAUAACUAAACAAGUUAUAUGUAGACAACGAAUUGAAAAACUUAUAGACAAUAGCAACUCAUAAGCGAUUUGUCGAGGGCGUCGCCAUUGUACAUCUGGAAGAGUUCAUNNNNNNNNNNCUUCCCUUAUCAAUUUGAAUGUCCAACAGAAUCCAAUGAAAGCUGCACAUGUAUAUAUAUAUAUGUGUGUGUGUGUGUGUGUGUGUGUGUGUGUGUGUGUCAGUAACUUAUCAAUUACAUUUAUAAAUGAAUGGACACAGCAGAGUAAAGACCCUCACCUGAAGUUGUAUGGAAACAGUAUGUGGUCACAGAAAUUUUGAUCUGUUAGAAACCUUAGAAGGUUUUCCUCCGUCUUCUUGGGUUUAUCAGUUAGCGUCGCUAUAUGUAUUUUAUCUGGGUCAAUAAACCCAAUAUUUAGGAUGUCCUUACUUUUAUAAUCCAGAAUCUUCAUUCUGCAUAAUAGAGUACAAAUUAUAUAUAGACAAUGAAUUAAAAUAACUAAACAAGUUAUAUGUAGACAACGAAUUGAAAAACUUACAAACAAUAGCAACUCAUAAGCGAUUUGUCGAGGGCGUUGCCAUUGUACAUCUGGAAAAGUUCAUCAAAGUCGAUAUGGAUUUCUUCGGGGCGGCCGUAGUACUCCCGUGGGACACUCACCACGAUCAUCGUUCUCCCAUUCUUUGAUUCACUGAAGUACCAUGUAUGCAAGUAACACAUAUUUGUUGGGAGAUCAUCUUUGCUCACCAAAGGCGCUCCGAUGACAAAUUGUGGCUUAGCGGCUACCACAGCCUUGGGUAACCUGUCAUCUUGGAAAGCCAGAAUGUCUUCAACCGGGAUACCCCAUUCAUCCGCCCACUUCUUUGCUAAUUUCAAAUCUUGCCCCUGCACCGGAGGGGGCACAUUCUCGGUUAACAUCCUGAGGGGUGGGAUCGACUGUUUGGCCUGUUGUCCAAGCUGAGGAACGUNNNNNNNNNNCAAGUAACGCAUAUUUGUUGGGAGAUCAUCUUUGCUCACCAAAGGCUCUCCCAUGACAAACUGUGGCUUAGGGGCUACCACAGCCUUGGGUAUCCUGUCGUCUUGGNNNNNNNNNNNNNNNNNNNNNNNNNNNNNNNNNNNNNNNNNNNNNNNNNNNNNNNNNNNNNNNNNNNNNNNNNNNNNNNNNNNNNNNNNNNNNNNNNNNNNNNNNNNNNNNNNNNNNNNNNNNAGAUACCACAUUCAUCCGCCAACUCCUUUGCGUUUUCAAAAGCUUGCCCCUGCACCGGAGGGGGAACAUUCUCGGUUAACACCUUGAGGGGUGGGAUCGACUGUUUGGCCUGUUGUCCAAGCUGAGGAACGUCUGAUUUUUUCUUGCUUGUAGUUGAACUUGAUUUGCUCCCACUUGCACUUGCAUGUGACUUGCUCUUUUUCACUUCCUUCUGCAAUGUGCGUGUAUAGUCAUCAGGCUUAUAGUGUAAGUCAUACUGUGAUGGAGUGGUUAUGAAGUCUUUUGCCCAUGCUAUGUUCUUCUCGGUGUAUUUCGGGCGGGGCUCGGGUUCCUUCCUUUUCAUCUGCGCCUCAUGUUGUUCCUUUGCUAUCCUGGCGUUUUCCUCGGGGGUACGAUCAUAAGGUCUGAUAGGAAGAUUAGCAUGAGGUACCUUUGGGAGGGGCGACAGUUUGCGCUUUGGGGAGCUCUGUCGCUUAGAAAUCAUCGACGAAGCGUUCUUGCUGGCACGCUUCCGCUUAGUAUCAUGUGCGGGCGGCGGUGAAGACGGACGACCCAAGUCCGGCGGCGGUGAUUGAGAUGGACUCGUGUUGUGCUGGCCGACAUCAUGUGGAGGGCUUGGAGGUAAUGGAGGUGUAGGUGACCUGCGACGACUCGGAGGCGGUGUUGUCCUUGGGGCCGAGCCUGGAAGCUUGAUGUAGUUCUUGUCCCAUAGGAUGACUCCACCGAGUACUUCUCCGAGUGUCCUCUCAUCUUCGGGUCCAGCUANNNNNNNNNNNNNNNNNNNNNNNNNNNNNNNNNNNNNNNNNNNNNNNNNNNNNNNNNNNNNNNNNNNNNNNNNNNNNNNNNNNNNNNNNNNNNNNNNNNNAGUUGACCCUGAAAUUGAAAAGCACUACAAAUGAACUCUGAAAAUGUUUAAAGUUGGCAUGCUAUCAUCAUGUCACCCACAUAGCAUGUGUAAAAAAGUUGAGAGGGCUAUGACAAAGACUCGAUGCAGUUCGUGUACAAAACUGACAAUCUCUCUCGAAGUAUUUCGAACGAGAACUCAUCUCUUACAAAGGGAUUUCAUUUUUUUAAAACUUAUUUGAACUCCAUACUUUUUGUGUGUUCAAAAUGCACCAUUCAAAGGCACAUCACAAAAUUUCAACAAUUUCCACUUUUUUGUUAUAUUUCGUGCAUUUACUUUUUUUUGAGCUAGUUGACCCUGAAAUUGAAAAGCACUNNNNNNNNNNNNNNNNNNNNNNNNNNNNNNNNNNNNNNNNNNNNNNNNNNNNNNNNNNNNNNNNNNNNNNNNNNNNNNNNNNNNNNNNNNNNNNNNNNNNNNNNNNNNNNNNNNNNNNNNNNNNNNNNNNNNNNNNNNNNNNNNNNNNNNNNNNNNNNNNNNNNNNNNNNNNNNNNNNNNNNNNNNNNNNNNNNACAGUUCAUGUACAAAACUGACAAUCUCUCUCGAAGUAGCAGGGUUUCGAACGAGAACUCAUCUCUUACAAAGGGAUUUCAUUUUUUUAAACUUAUUUGAACUCCAUACUUUUUGUGUGUUCAAAAUGCACCAUUCAAAGGCACAUCACAAAAUUUCAACAAUUUCCGACUUAAUUUGGUAUAUUUCUUGAAUUUACUUUUUUUUGAGCUAGUUGACCCUGAAAUUGAAAAGCACUACAAAUGAACUCUGAAAAUGUUGAAAGUUGGCAUGCUAUCAUCAUUUCACCCACAUAGCAUGUGUUAAAAAGUUGAGAGGGCUACGACAAAGACUGGAUGUAGUUCGUGUACAAAACGGACAAUCUCUCUCGAAGUAGCAGGGUUUCGAACGAGAACUCAUGUGUUACAAAGGGAUUUCAUUUUUUAAAACUUAUUUGAACUCCAUACUUUUUGUGUGUUCAAAAUGCACCAUUCAAAGGCACAUCACAAAAUUUCAACAAUUUCCGACUUCAUUUGGUAUAUUUCUUGCAUUUACUUUUUUUUGAGCUAGUUGACCCUGAAAUUGAAAAGCACUACAAAUGAACUCUGAAAAUGUUGAAAGUUGGCAUGCUAUCAUCAUUUCACCCACAUAGCAUGUGUUAAAAUGUUGAGAGGGCUAUGAAAAAAACUGGAUGCACUUCGUGUACAAAACUGACAAUCUCUCUCGAAGUAGCAGGGUUUCGAACGAGAACUGAUCUCUUACAAAGGGAUUUCAUUUUUUUUUACUUAUUUGAACUCCAUACUUUUUGUGUGUUCAAAAUGCACCAUUCAAAGGCACAUCACAAAGGGAUUUCUUCUUCUCUCAUAUAUGGUGGACACUAGCUCACCUGAUUUUUCAACCGUCGAUGAUGGUCGCUACUCCUACUUCCCCUAGUGCAUAACCAAUAUCUAGCACAAGGAGAAGAAGGAGAAGUGAUUGUUUUAAUCAAAAACAGAUCUGUUACAAAAGGAUUUCAUUUUUUGAACUUAUUUGAACUGAAGACUUUUUGCAUAUAUAUGUGGUCGAAAUGCAUGAUACCAUGAAGUUAGAAAGGGCUAAACCAUUCAAAAGUAGGAAAUGAAGUUAGAAAGGGCUAAAACAUUCAAAUUUGGAAACUAUAAUGGCACAAACAGAAAUUAGACAUAUAUAAAUUGGUCCAAGAAGUACAUGAUACUAGUCCAAACAGUACAUAAUAAUAGCUACAAUAGAUAUAUAUACAAGUGUUCGACGUUAAGAACACUACUCGUCUGAAUCAUCUGAAUCAGAAUGUCCACCUUCCUCGAGGGGAUAUAGGUGACGCUGGCCAUAGUGGAUGACUCGAAUCUUGCGGUACAACUCGUAUGAAACAUAUGCAUCUUUUGCUGCAUACUCAAUGUUGAUAUCAUCAAGUGGGCCCUUCUCCCAAAGUCUGUGCUGAGACCUUGGGAAACUGGUCUUAUAUCAGCAUAUGAAUCGUCGAUCAAGGCAACUGCCAUACGAGCCAUCGAAGUCCUGUCAUGUUGAAGCUUGAAUAUCGUUUGGAUAUCAACGAGGCAACCAGCUGGUAUCUCAAUAUCGAAGCUGUGCCUCAUCUUCAGCCUGUCGUUCCUUAUGUCAACGGAAGCAAAAGUGACGCCGCUGCGAAGGAACUCCAUGAGUCCUGGACAAUGCUUGUCACUCCUGCAACAGAAACAAAUUAAAAUGGACCAAAUGUUACAUACUGCUGCAAUAAGGAAACAUGUUUCACUACAAGUAAAUAGAAACUUAUCUUUAGGAUUCAUAUAGCACAUAUGCAAUGGAACCUAGAGAUAGAUUAUGAACCUACUGCUGCAAUAAGGAAACAUGUUUCACUACAACUAUUUGAAGGGAACCAACUAUGAUAGAAACAAAUAAACUUAUACUUGGAAUUCACUAUGAUAGAUUAUGGACAUUAUGCAUAAUAUGCAAACAAAAGAAAGCUUGUUAACUAGUAAAUCCAAACUACAAACUAAGUCUUAUCGGAUUGACAAAAUUCGAUCCAAUGUGAAUUAUAAAUGAACACAAAUAAAUCAAAUGUACUCCACACAUACUACACUACUAAAUCAAAUGUACAAAUACACAAAAUCAAAUGUACUACACUACUAAAUCAAAUGUAUUCCACUACUAAAUCAAAUGUACUACACUACUAAAUCAAAUGUACUACACUACUAAAUCAAAUGUAUUCCACACAUACUACACUACUAAAUCAAAUGUACAAAUACACAAAAUCUACUACGCUACUUAAUCAGAUACACAAAUACACAAAAUCCAUGUGAACGUGGGAGUAGUGACCCUAGGGGAGGGAUUAUCUUGGAUCAAAGAAAGCCUCAAAACUUACUUCGCCCAUUGGAAGAUCAAGACAUGGCUUGCAAAGCAUAUUUGGAUGACGGCAACACCACGUUGAUCGGCCGUGUACUCCAGAUCAAGCCCGAAGAACUUCUCAUGAUCCGGUGCGUGGUUAAACCAUCGUUCCUUCAACUGUUCAAGGAAAUACGGCACCUCCGUGCUCAGGUUCGUGUACACGACACAGAGCUUUGUCGCGCCAUGCACGACCACCUCACGAAAGAUAGUUGGCAUGGUGGAAGAAGAGAAGGGAAGAAGAGAGGAGAAGAACAGAGAGGGCGACGCGAGAGAGAAGAAGAACAGAGAGGGCGACGCGAGAGAGAAGAAGAACAGAGAAAUGGCGACUGUACACUUCUGUUCGUGCUUUUCAUCGCCCGAAACGACGCGGGAUACAAACCGUUUGGGCCAUUAAUCCCGGUUUGAGCCACCAACCGGGACUAAAGAGGUAUACCAAACGGUUGCCACCACUACGGCAGGCCACGUGUUAGGCUUUUAGUCCAGGGUUCAACCACCAACCGGGACUAAAGAGGUAUGCCAACGGUCGCCCCACUACGGCAGGCCACGUGUUAGUCCUUUAGUCCCGGGUUGAGCCACCAACCGGGACUAAAGAGGUAUACCAACCGCCGCCACAAUGACGGCAUGCCACGUGUUAGGCCUUUAGUCCCGGAUUGAGCCACCAACCGGGACUAAAGGGGGAUACGAACGGUUGCCACCACCACUGCCCGCCGCGUAGCCCUUUAGUCCCGGUUUGGGACACGAACCGGGACUAAAGGCUCCUUACGGCCCGGGACUAAAGCCUCGAGGGAGGCAUUGAGAAUUGGGGCGACGUGGCCGGGCCUUUAGUCCCGGCCCAGAGGCACUCCAGGACUAAAUGGUCCAGGCCAAAGGCCCGUUUUCUACUAGUGCCCCCUGGCCGCACCUAGGGGGCUUGUGGGCUCCCUGCUGGCCCACUGGCUCCCCUCUUCUGCUAUAUGAAGGGUUUCGUUCCGAAAGAAAUCAGGAGGAGGCUUUUCGGAGGAUUCGCCGCCGCCACGAGGCGGAACUCGAGCAGAACCAAUCUAGAGCUCCAGCAGGACGAUCCUGCCGGGGAAACUUCCCUCCCAGAGGGGCAAAUCGUCGCCAUCGUCAUCACCAACACUCUUCUCAUCGGAGGGGACUCGUCACCAUCAACAUCUUCAUCAGCACCAUCUCAUCUCCAAACCCUAGUUCAUCACUUGUAACCAAUCUCCGUCUCGCGACUCCGAUUGGUACUUGUAAGGUUGCUAGUAGUGUUAAUUACUCUUUGUAGUUGAUGCUAGUUGGAUUACUUGGUGGAAGAGUUUAUGUUCAGAUCCUUGAUGUGUUGGGGAAUGUCGCAUGGGAAACAAAAAUUUUCCUACGCGCACGAAGACCUAUCAUGGUGAUGUCCAUCUACGAGAGGGGAUGAGAGAUCUACGUACCCUCGUAGACCGUACAGCAGAAGCGUUAGAGAACGCGGUUGAUGUAGUGGAACGUCCUCACGUCCCUCGAUCUGCCCCGCGAACAAUCCCGCGAUCAGUCCCACGAUCUAGUACCGAACGGACGACACCUCCGCGUUCAGCACACGUACAGCUCGACGAUGAUCUCGGCCUUCUUGAUCCAGCAAGAGAGACGGAGAGGUAGAAGAGUUCUUCGGCAGCGUGACGGUGCUCCGGNNNNNNNNNNNNNNNNNNNNNNNNNNNNNNNNNNNNNNNNNNNNNNNNNNNNNNNNNNNNNNNNNNNNNNNNNNNNNNNNNNNNNNNNNNNNNNNNNNNNUGCAGGCAGACGACAAAGAAAGUGGCCGUUAGGGGGGAGAGAGGGGCUGCGGGGUGGGCCGCCCAUGCUCUUUGCCGUCUGCCUGCAUGCUCUUUGUCGUGAGCUGGCAGACGGCAAAGAGCUGGCUGAUGGCAAAUAGUACCUUUGGCAUCAGCGUGCGCUUUGCCGUCUGGUUUCUGGUAGCUGAUGGCAAAGAGGGUCUUUGCCAUCAGCCAGCAGACGGCAAAGAAGCAGCAGAUGGCAAAUAACUGUUUUCCAGUAGUGAAUGGGUACACUCACAUCUUAGUCGCUGUUGAUUAUGUCACUAAGUGGGUAGAAGCUAUCCCCACUAGAAAUGCUGAUCAUCACACCUCUAUUAAGAUGCUUAAAGAAGUCAUUUUCCCAAGGUUUGGAGUCCCUAGAUAUCUGAUGAGUGAUGGCGGUUCACACUUCAUUCAUGGUGUUUUCCGCAAGAUGCUUGCUAAGUAUUAUGUCAACCGUAGGGUUGCAUCUCCUUAUCAUCCUCGGUCUAGUGGUCAAGUGGAGUUGAGUAAUAGGGAGAUCAAAUUGAUCUUACAAAAGACUGUUAAUAGAUCUCGAAAGAAUUGGUCUGGUAAACUUGACGAUGCAAUAUGGGCUUAUAGGACUGCUUAUAAGAAUCCCAUGGGCAUGCCGCCGUAUAAAAUGGUUUAUGGUAAGGCCUGUCAUUUACCUCUUGAGCUAGAACACAAGGCUUAUUGGGCAAUAAAGAGCUUAACUUCGAUUUCAACCUUGCUGGUGAGAAGCGGUUGUUUGAUAUCAGCUCAUUAGAUGAAUGGAGGGCCCAGACAUAUGAGAAUGCCAAGUUGUUCAAGGAAAAGGUUAAGAGAUUGCAUGAUAAAAGAAUACAGAAACGAGAGUUCAAUGUAAGUGAUUAUGUCCUGCUAUACAAUUCUCGCUUAAGAUUCUUCGUAGGCAAGCUUCUCUCUAAAUGGGAAGGUCCUUACGUUGUCGAGGAAGUAUAUCGUUCCGGUGCCAUCAAAAUCAAUAACACGGAAGGAAAUUUUCCUAGAGUGGUAAAUGGGCAAAGAAUCAAGCAUUAUAUCUCUGGUACACCCAUAAAUGUUGAGACCAAUAUCAUCAAUAUCAUAACUCCAGAGGAGUACAUAAGGGAUGUUUAUCAGCCUGUUUCUGACCCUGAAAACGAAGAGGUAUGUGUUUCGGUAAGUAAUUGGACUCCGAAGCUUUUCCAAUAGGAAAUUUCCUCCGUUUUGGAAUUUUUGGAAAAUUAGAAAAAUAAAAGCAGUCCGGAGAGCGCACGAGGCAGCCACAAGCUUGGUAGCCGCCACCUACCCCCCUGGCGGCGGCUACAGGGCUUGUGGGCACCUCGUGUGCCUCCCGGACUCCGUUUUCUUGCGGAGCACUCCUUCUGGUCCAGAAAAAAUCAUUAUAUAUACGACUGAGGGUUUUGAUCUCCGUAUCACGCAGUUUUCCUCUGUUUUCAUUUCGAGCCUGUUUCUGUUGCAGAUCUAGAUCAUCAUGACUUCCCCAAAAGCUCCUAAGGACAAGAUCUUCGAUAAGGUCAUCAAUCCCGAUCUCACGGAAGUGCUGAAACACCCUCAAUCUAUCAAGAUGAGCGAGGGGAUGUUGCACAUCCGUGAUGUUGAGGGGCCUAAGAAGAUCGGAAGCAUGGAGACGAGGGUCGAAGCAAUGGAGCAACAAGUCUUCAAGUGCCAAGGGAUGGUGGAGCGUGGACUCAACGCCAACCACAUGAUGAUCACGGAGUUCACCAGCAAGCACAAGAUGGAUGCCAUUGACAUUGGGAAACAUCUCUCCAGGCUCUAUGACAGGGUUGAUCAACUUCAGGGCCAGAUCUAUGUCCUGCAGAACCAAAACUGUGAGUAUGAGUAUAGAUUUAAAUCAAUACGGUUGGUUGCAGAUUUGAGGAUUCCGGCGACUCGUUCAUCCUGCCAUGAUGGAGCACCUAUGCCUUGGAAGACGGAGGAUCAGACUACCACAACAACUCCACCACCACCACCACCAAAGGAAGACAACUAAGCAUUGGUAUGGGCAAUCCCCUUGGCUUUUGCCAAGCUUGGGGGAGUUGCCCUGGUAUCGUAUCACCUUUAUAUCUUUUGCUUUUACCUUUGUUUUAGUUCUUUCCUUUUUAGUUUUUUAUUUCUUCUCUUAGUGGAAUAAGUCUUUAGUGUUUAGUUUGAGUCUUUUUCUUUGUGUCUCCCCCGAUGUAUUCGAGCUUGCGAGCUAUAUAAUAAAGAGUAUCUUAGUCAAGGGCUUUGUUUUGUGCCAUGAUCAAAAGUAUGAAAAGAACGAUAGCAUGAAAGAUCAUGAGAUGAUCUUAUGGAAAGUGAUAGCUUCACAUAUAACAAGUAUGAUGAUUGAAACUUGUUGAGAACAAACCAACAUAGACCUCAGUCAUUGUUGCAAUUAAUAAGAAGUAAUAAGGAAAGAGAGGUUCACAUAUAAAUAUAUCAUCUUACACACUUUCUAUAAUUGUGAGCACUCACCAAACUAUUACAUGCUUAGAAGUAAAUGUUGGACAAGGAAGACAACAUAAUGAAUUGUGUUUGCUUGGUUCCAAACAAUGUUAUAUGAUUAGAGAUCCCUUAGCAUGUGACGAUUGCUUCCACCUCAUAUUAGCCAAAACUCCCGCACCAAGUAAAGAUACUACUUGUGCAUCCAUAAACCUCCAACCCAGUUUUGCCAUGAGAGUCCACCAUACCUACCUAUGGAUUGAAUAAGAUCCCUCAAGUAAGUUGUCAUCGGUGCAAGCAAUAAAAAAUGCUCUCUAAUAUGUAUGAUCUAUUAGUGUGUGGAAAAUAAGCUUUAUACGAACCCGUGAUGAGGAAGACAUAAAAGCGAUAGACUGCAUAAUAAAGUUCUUUAUCACAGGAGGCAAUAUAAAGUGACGUUCCUCCGCACUAAGAGGACACGCAUCCAAACCUCAAAAGCGCAUGACAACCUCUGCUUCCCUCUGCGAAGGGCCUUUCUUGUACCUUUACUUUUUGCCCUUGUAAGAGUCAUGGUGAUCUUCACCAAUUCCCUAUUUUGCCUUUGUCUUGGCUACCGUCACAUGCUUGGGAAAGAUCUAUAUUCAUAUAUCAACUUGGAGAUGAGUACUUAUGCUUUAUUAUUGUUGACUUUACCCUUGAGGUAAAUGGUUGGGAGGCAAAACUAUAAGCCCCUAUCUUCCUCUGUGUCUAGCUGAAACUUUGAUACCAUGAGUACCACGUGAGUUGUAACAAUUGUGGAAAAAAGAGAUGAUUGAGUAUGUGGGUUUGCUUUACAAGCUCUUAUUUGACUCUUUCUGAUGUUAUGAUAAAUUGCAAUUGCUUCAAUGACUAUGGACUGUUGUUGGCUACUUCUGGGUAAAGUUUUUGUUUCAUACUUUGCCUUGUGAAGGAAUUGUUACUUUCUCAUAAGAAUCUUUAGGAUGUAUUGCUGUUCUAUGUGUGAUCAUGAUGCCCUCAUGUCCGUAUUAUGUUUUAUCAACACCUUCAUCCCUAAACAUGUGGACAUGUUUAUGGAACUUGGUUUUUGCUUGAGGACAAGCGAGGUCUAAGCUUGGGGGAGUUGAUACGUCCAUUNNNNNNNNNNNNNNNNNNNNNNNNNNNNNNNNNNNNNNNNNNNNNNNNNNNNNNNNNNNNNNNNNNNNNNNNNNNNNNNNNNNNNNNNNNNNNNNNNNNNCUUCUCUCUAUCUGCUGCCGUGGUCGGUGACCGAGUCUUACUCAAUCUCAUACCUUGCAAAACUGGCAAGAACCCUUUCUUUGAGUUUUCCAUAUUGAACUUCUUCAAUAUCUUGUCAAGGUAUGUACUUUGCGAAAGACCUAUGAGGCGUCUUGAUCUAUCUCUAUAGAUCUUGAUGCCUAAUAUGUAUGCAGCUUCUCCAAGGUCCUUCAUUGAAAAACUCUUGUUAAAAUAGGCCUUUAUGCUCUCCAACAUCUCUAUAUGAGGAAAGCUACAGAGCUCCCACUCACUUUCUUGUACAGACAGGCUUCUCCGUAAACCUGUAUGAACCCAAACGCUUUAAUCACCUCAUUAAAGCGAAUGUUCCAACUCCGAGAUGCUUGCACCAGCCCAUAGAUGGAGCACUGGAGCUUGCACACUUUGUUAGCACCCUUAGGAUCGACAAAACCUUCUGGUUGCAUCAUAUACAACUCUUCCUUAAGGUUCCCGUUAAGGAACGCUGNNNNNNNNNNNNNNNNNNNNNNNNNNNNNNNNNNNNNNNNNNNNNNNNNNNNNNNNNNNNNNNNNNNNNNNNNNNNNNNNNNNNNNNNNNNNNNNNNNNNGAAGAAGAAGAGAAAUGGACGAAUUGGGUUGGAAAUUUUCGAAGUCCCGCUUAUAUAGGUGGAUCUAUAGUCCCGGUGCGUGACUUGGGCCGGGACUAAAGCCCCUCCUCGGCUGCACGAUAAGUUUAGUCCCACCUCGCCCAGCGAGGGGGACUAACACUUGUUUAUAAGCCCCGUCGCAGCUUCUCCAUCGAGCUCCUCUCUAAAGCAGGCUUAUGGGUCUAAACUCACUGAAAAUUGUAACUAUAUUAGAAAUUAUAGGGAAAAUUCAAUCUAAAUUCAAAUGAGAAUUUAGGUUGAAUUUUCUCUAUGAUCUCGAAUAUAGUUUCAAUUUUUUUUUAUUUUCAUAAUUAAUAAUUUUGACUAUCCAAACUAUUAUCUAUUUUUUUAUUUUCAAUUAAAAACUAUGUUUAUUAAUAUUUUUUUUGCAUAUUUGAGAAUUUGACAAAACUAUGAUAAUGAAAAGUGUUUCAAAUUGAAUAAAUAAUGCAAAACUAUUUUUUAUUUUCAUAAUUAAUAAUUUUGACUAUCCAAACUAUUAUCUAUUUUGUUAUUUUCAACUAAAAACUGUGUUUAUUAAAAAUUCUUUUUGCAUAUUUGAGAAUUUGACAAAACUAUGAUAAUGAAAAGUGUUUGAAAUUGAAUAAAUAAUUCAAAACUAUUUUCUAUUUUCAAAAGUAAUUAUUUUGACUAUCCAAACUAUUAACUAUUUUGUUAUUUUCAAUUAAAAACUGUGUUUAUUAAAAAUUCUUUUUGCAUAUUUGAGAAUUUGANNNNNNNNNNNNNNNNNNNNNNNNNNNNNNNNNNNNNNNNNNNNNNNNNNNNNNNNNNNNNNNNNNNNNNNNNNNNNNNNNNNNNNNNNNNNNNNNNNNNGCUGCUGGGGUUUUCCUAAACCUAUAUCUCAAUGCAAAUUGUAGUUCUGAAUUCUCAUGCUUCUGAAGAGGUGGACUGUCGGGCGACGUCAGGAGUACAGAAUUAAAACAGACGACAGUAAGGAAGUUAUUUAUUAUGUUACAGGUAGUGCAACGGUUUGAGAAGGUCAAUACGUAAAAUACCAUUGUUUUGUAGUAGAAUUAACGAAGAAGACAGCUUAUGUAAAAAACCUGAAAAACAACAAUGUACUGUAGGAUACAACUUAUAUAUAGCCAGAAUUUGGUUCACAUGUUAAUCAAAACAUUUGCAAUAUGCUAAAUCAAAUACUAGAAAUCAGUAUCUUCUUUUUAAGGGUGAAAACACAUAUUUGCGAAGUUCUAAAGUUUCUGCCAGCUAGCUGCACAUAGUACCAAAUGGCAAAACUGAAUUAUAUUGUUUCCACUCAACAACUUCUACUUAGAGCAUCCCUAACCGAUACCUUAUAAUCUAGAGGAGCAAACCGCACGGUAUCCUAAACUUACAUUUCUCCUCUAUAAAAGUGUGGUUCCUUA
rnacentral:lncRNA from 1 species